AAACAUCCUUCUUGCAUUAAGUUUCCUAAUCUUAAACAGAUUGAAAAUUCUAACUUUGAAACAUUUCCAGAUUCCAUUUUGACUAUCACUUCUGAACAAGAGUUGCCUCCUUACAGAUUAUGUCAAUAUGGUCCUUCCAGAAUUAUCACUAUACUUCCAACUGUCCUUGAGCAACCAAUCUUUGGUAAACCUUAGAUUGUCCUCGACAAUUGUUUAAUCCUUUUAGUCAUAUCCAGUUCUAAACCUUUUCCCUUCUUAAUGCCCCAGGCAUUUGGAAAAUUUUAGAACGGAUGAAUAUAGCACAUGUAAUCGAUCCUAUAUCCGAAGCAUAUGGGACACGAUUCAUGAUGUCUUACAUAAAGACUAAACCAGUCUUUUGCUAUAAUAUUUCCAUUUCAAUUUGCCAAGUUCUCAUAAUUCAGAUUAUGAAAAGGGAUGCCGUAAUCAUAAUCGAAUUUUAGAACGCAAAUAAUGGACCCAUAUACAGAAUUUCCUUAUGUUGAGCCAUUCCAACAUGAAAUUCAUAUAUAUCCUUGACUAAAUGAUUAAAACCUCACGAUCUAAGCUUAUAGAUUUGAGAUGAAGUAUAAUUUCCUCUCCCUUAAUUAUAGCAAAACAACUUUUUCCCAAUUGAAACUUUUGUUUUCUAUAAUUAACAUUGCUAACUUGCAAUACUUAUCAUAAUUAUCAUGCUCCCACUAACAUGAUGAUUAUUAGCAUAACACUUAUGCUCCCACUAGCUUUGACAUGUACUCAGAAAUCAGCUGGACUUCUAGAAAUCAAUACUUCAUUGACUUUCUUACCAAAGUUCAGAUUUCUGAUGCUAGAUUGUUUUGAUAAAACUUUAUCAAAAUCAUACACCUUCCCUUAGAUAGCACACUUGUGUAUCUAAACAAUUAUGAAGAGGGAUGCCGUAAUCAUAAUGUUUAGACCUUUUUGCCACUUCUCACAAGUCCAAGUUAGUGUGCCGGUUAACCACACGCGCUCCACUAACGACUUUGAGAAUGCAAAUAUCACAAUUGCUAUCUAGCUAAAAUCUACUUAGUGAAAGUGUUUCCUCACCAUCAUUUUCAUGAAUCGGAGAGAAACCUUAUGACACUUAGAUUUAAUGGUGUAUGUGUUCUUAUCCAUGUGAAUUGUCAAAACCAUAGUCACAAGACAAGGAUAAUGACAAAUCCAAACUCAUAUGGACUGAACUCAAUCUUAAUUUCUUGCCACCUGGCAGCUCAAGGGCCUACCAUUGCUUCCAAGUUGUUGUGCAACAAAUUGAGAACUCUAAGAACUCAUAUGCAAAGCCAACUUUAACUGGAAUGGGCACAGAAUAUGUCAACACGAUAGGUUAUGAACCUCAAGUCGUGUGCUAGUGAAGAACUUCAGGUUUUAUUCUUGAUUAGUUCUUGAGACUUUCAAGACCUUUAAGACUCCCACUGUCCUCUUGACAUAUAAGACUCCCUUGUCAAACAUCCAAGAGAUAGUGCGGAUUCUAAUCAAGAAAAACACUUUACCCAAUUGGCCUAAGUUGGUCUUUGUUUUAUCCAAAACAUCACAACUUACCAAUUUCAAAUGUACAAGAGUAGAAAACUUUUACUCUUACAUUUGACAAGUGUUUUAAACCUUCUUUAAGACAUGUCACUCAAAUGACAAUCUUGGAGUAUGACUCUAAGACUUGUAUUGGAACGAAGUAUGACUCAUCUUCUUGAUUUAACCAUUUCAACAAUUCAAGUUCCUCUUCUUAGUCAUAAGAAUGCACUAAGAUUUCCUUAGAGAACUAAUUUUGAUAUGGUUUCUUAAUCAUUAAGAUGAUCACAAAACUGAUACUAAAGUACUCUCCCAUCUUUUCAGAUUUGAGAAACUUUUAUCCUUCUGCCUUAUUUGAUUCUUCUUAUCGAUCUUUAGUGGUGGACUUAAUCAGUGCACAAGAAUGUGUACUCGAUCCCUAAGUCCUUUACUUGACUCACACAUCCAUGUGAACAAGUAAUUAGUCUUAAUUUUCCAAAACUUGAAAGUUCUCAUUCAUCAUGCUAUACAACUUGCAUGAUUCCAAGUUCCGGUCCAAUUGAAACUUGGGUGAUGAGAAUCUUUCCUUAUUUGGUAAAUUUAGACAUUACCACAAAUGAAAGAAUCAAUUUCAUACUUCCACUCUUGCUACUAAUGGAAUCUUAUAAGCAACAAAAAUUUCCACAGAUGCCAUUGUAAGGAUAUUUUAAAAUAAAUAAAAUCAAAAAUUUCCUUUUAUUUUAAAACUUUGCGGAAAAACUAUCCUUACAAUCCAUAUGAAAACUUGUUGUUAUCUAUUCCUAAGCAAUAUCUCAUAACUCCUAAGAAGUAGCUCAAGAAUCCGAUUUUUCAAACUAUGCGAUAGAAAUCCAUCUAUGCGAUCAGAUUCAGCAUAUUCUUCCUUUAAGUUUCUUCACUUUCCUUUGAUUCUUAAACCAUCACCAUGCGACCCGGUCACAUCAUGUAUCAAGAAUCUCAGAAUAGAAACUUAACAGAGUUAGAUAGUGGAUUUUACCUGAAGUAGAGUCAAACUUAUUGACUUUAACAUCCUUAGGUAAAUUUGGCAGCUUCGCAACCAAUGCCCUUUCUUUGGCAAUACAAACAUAUGGACCCUUUGAUAAUGGUACACAGGACUAUCACAGACUUAGCUUUUCUCUUUACCAUUUGGUCAACCGAGUUGACUAUAGCCGAUCCCUUUCCAUUGGGAAGAGAAUGCUUUACUGGAUAUCCAAUGUCAUCAUUGUCAAUGUCCAUAAAGUUUUAGGAAGUUGAUCUUAACAAAUAGAUAAGAUCAUUAAGGGUCUUGUCAUAGUCUUUUUCAUAGGUGUUCCAAAAGAACUCACUAUGUGACUUAGAAAGUAGUUGAACCACCAACUUUCUCAAGACUUUGACACCCAACUCUCCCGGCUUGUCAAUAUGUGACUACAUCUCCAAGAUGUGACCACACCUAGACCUUGCCUUGCCAAAAGGGCCUGAGUGACCUUAAACUUUUCAAGAACUUGUGGGUUAGGGAGAAUAAUUUGAAGAGGUGAAGAAGUAUGAUAUCCAUGGGACAUCAUCUUCAUUAGGAAACCUUGUUUCAAGAGAUUUGGGAAGAUCAUAGGUGUCUAAACCAGACAUCUUUUGGGAGAUAUUCAAGAUAGUUGAUUUAAAGUCCUUAAUAUGACACCCAAUAUGAAAUAUUAAGGCUAGGACCCAACAAACUAUUUUAUAACUUAGAAGAGGUAUGCCGUAAUCCAAGCUAUAAAAUAUUUGAAGGUAGGUGAAUGACGAUUCACCAAUUUCCACCAAGAUAAACGAAAUGUAUUAUUAGGUUUUAAUUGGUUUUGAAACUCCUAGAUCUUUGAGAUUCAUUGAACUUUUCAAAGGCAUGUUUCAAUCUCGAGUGUGCCCUUCAGGUUUUGUGACUGGGAUGCCGAGGAUCACAAAACAAGGUGUGAAGUAACCAUGCAAAUCACUUGGUACCCUUAAUAAAUUACCCCUCAAUCGAUGUGCCGGUUAACCACACACGCUCCAUCGAUACUAUGAUAAAUAUUAAGUCACCCUUUACCUACCUUGUUAAGUCCAAGUUAGUGUGCCGGUUAACCACACACGCUCCACUAACGACUUAGACAAAGUGUAAAGUGUAAUUUCAUGGAUUAGCACCUUAUUCACAUUUUUCCUAAGUAACUAAGAUUGGGUAUUAUUAAGAGUUUAGUUACUUAGUAUUAUCAUUAAUACUUUUAAUGAAGGGAGAAUUCUAGUCCUGUCAAACCCGUUCGGCUAACGACCCUCCACCAGUCAAGCAAGCGGUGGGUGAGAGUGGACACCCAUUAAGUUGCCAUUUUAUAGGCAACAACCUUAUACCCACCUUAUAGACCGGCUUCGUGAAUGAGGCGUACUAGCGGUAAGACUGACUUUACUCUUAUACAUAUAUAUAUUAUUAACUUAUAAUAUUAUAAAGUAUAAGGAUUGAAUUUUAACUUUUAAAAUCCUAAGGGCUUAACUUGGAAUUAAAGUAUUCAUAAAAGAAAACUUUUCAAAUUCCAAAACUUGAGGGAAAGUUUUGAAACUAUUCAAAACUAAUUAAUUCCAUAACUUAUGUGUUUAAAGUAGUUUUAAUCCAAAAACUCUUCAAGUUCCAUAACUUGAGGACAAGUUAUUGAAGACUUUAAACUAUUAAAGAAUGUAACUUUUCUUUAUUUUGUAACUUAUGGAAUUAAUUAAAGUUACAUAUUUUUAUUACAUAAUGAAGUGACUCUUGACUCUCCAUAACUUGAGGACAAGUUAUGGAGUCAUAAAACCAUUUAAUGAGAACAAGACUCUUCAUAUUUGUAACCUUUGCCAACUUUUAUGAGUUUUAAGAAACUUUAAUGUGACUUUUCAUGUAACUUGAGGACAAGUUACACAAACACAUUUUAGAAUCAACUCUUAGAUUAAAAUGGAUUGAAAACAACUAUUUCACUCAACAUUUCUAUUAAUCUAAGCAACUCAUAAGAACAAGAUAAUUCAAAUCAAACUUUUUCAUGUAAUUAGUCUAAACAUUAAACUAAUACAAAACAUGAAUCUAUUGACAAUUAUCUUUGACAUUGGAUUAGAAUGAACAUUACCACAUCAAAAACAAGUUUAUAAGUCCAAAAACAGCUAAGGGUAAUGUUCCUAGUCCAUUUCUAGCCAAAAAAACUUGAACAUAUGUUGUAUGGGGCUCCUACUCGACGAGUAGGAUGAUUUUCUUCAUGGACUCGGGGAGCCCAGUGCCCAGAAAGCCAGAAAAUCGCAUUUUUCAGCAAUUUGCAUCAAGUAUAAUUGAAAACAAGCCUAGGCUCUGAUACCACUGUUGGGUUUUGAGCAUUCUAACACUCCUAAGUGUACAUGCAACCCUAAAUACCUUGGAUCUAUGUUUUCUCUAUUAUACAUGCAAAUAUGAACUUCCAAGGUAUUAUCCUAAUCUAGCAUACAAAACAAUGAAUAUAACAAGAUAGAAUACAUACCUCUUGAUGUAAAAAGUCUUCAUGAAGCUUGAGUGCAUAGUGCCCCAAGUGUGACACCUCAAAUGGUUCACACAACAUCAAUUGCUUUUGGAAUAACCUUGAGAGAAAUGUAGAACACUUCAUAAAAAUCGGCUAGCCCUUCUCUAUCUCCAUAGUGGCCAAUUUUUCCAAGAGUAUGAUCUUUAUAUAGUGUUACAAUUAGUGUAAACCCUAAUUGUCAUGACUUUCCAUUUUCCUUGGAUCCAUGGGUACAAAACACCAUGGAGCAUCCAUGAAGCGUCAUAUGGGUUUUAGCCCAACUAGAUAAUCCAUGGAGCAUUAGCCCACUAUAUAAGUAUGGAUGAUUUACACAAUCAAUACAUAUAUUUAAUUAGUCUUCUUUUGAUCACUUAAUUAACUCUAGAUUAAUUCUUGAUCAAUACUAAUUAAAUAAUCUUAUUAAUAUAUUAUAACUUAUAAUAUAUUAACAAACCUUAAGUGUUAUUUCUCUCAUUAUAGUCUAUCCAAAUGCAUGAUGCCAUGCAACCCAAAUGGACCAUGUCGGGUCGGGUCAAGUCUUACCAAUUAUAGUUAUGGACUUAGACAUUAAUCCAACAUCUUCAAGAUUUCAGAGGAUGGGUGAUCUUAAGGUUUGACUGGUAAUUGAUCGUCAGCAUUGGUAAGCUCAGAUUGUCAUUAGCGGAUUAUUUGAAAUCAAGAAGGAUUGGGGAUCCUUCAAUUCUCACGUGCCGUGAAGACUUAGUCCAAUAUAAGUGGGGGAGAGACUUUUUGUAAAGUUCUCUAAAUGUGAGUUCUUGUUGUGUGAGGUGCAAUCUCUUGGGCACCUUGUCAACCAAAAGGGUAUUCUGGUUGAUCCGGCCAAGAUAGAGGCUGUGAUGUAGUGGAAGAUUCUGAGGUCUCCAAAUGAGAUUUAGAGUUUCCUGGGUCUAGCGGGUUAUUACCAAAGACUUAUACAUGACUUCUCCGAGAUUGCGGUUUCUUUGACCCGACUGACCAAGAAGUCGAUGGCCUUUCGCUGGGGGCUUGAGCAUCAGGAAGCCUUCAAGAAUCUCAGACAUCAGGAUUCGUGAACCAGAUUAGAACUUCAGUUAAGACUCAAGUUCAGUUGAUGGUUAGGUCGAGUGCAUGAUCGACCCCGUUGGGACUAGUAUUGUAAGACUGCGGGGGUAGCCGUAGCAUUCACUAAUAGUCAGUUAGCAUGGAGAGUGAUGUAAGUCUGCGAGUGUAGCCGUAGCAUUCACUAGCAGUCAGAUAGUGAUAGAGUGUUGUAAGCCUGCGGGUGUAGUCGUAGCAUUCACUAGCAGUCAUAUAGUGAUAAAGUGUUGUAAGAAUGCGGGUGUAACCGUAGCAUCCACUAGAUUGGUAGAUAGUAUGAGCACAUUCAUAGAUCAUGAAAGGGACAGUAGUACCCACCAGUCUGGGUGCAACAUUGAGGAUAUGGAAACCCACAUAUUGGAUUUCGGAAUUACCUAGAAGGAUUGAUCAAGUUGAGCCAGUGAUAAGACUAUAGGAGUGCCACUAUAGUUAUGGGAUCAGGGAAGCAAUGAACCGUAUAAGAUUGCUUGUGAUAUAAGGCUACCAUCAGUUAGGUAGCAAUCACUUUUAGCCUGGAUUUAGUGACGUCAAGAUUCGACGUAUGGACCUGAUCGGUUGGAUCGGGAGGUUGUUAGAGCCACAAUGGCAUGAUAACUAGUGGCAACUAGUUCCAGAGAAGGAUUUCAUUCAGGAGUUGUGUGAGACGACUAAGUGAGGAUCCUUUGGCUCUACAGCCGGACUGGAACCCGGUAUUUCAGACAGACGACUGACGGAUGAAUUGAGACCAGGGAGGUCUCGAUAGAUUUUGGGAAGCAACUAUGUAACAACAUACUGCUUCAGGUAGUUCAGUGUUCAAGUAGUUUCAGCGUUUGGGCAGUGUUAGCAUUUGUGCUUCAGGUUGCGAGUAUGGACGGAAUAGCUAGAUGAUUUGGGGAGUGACAAGUCACUCACAGCAGGAGUAUCUGAGCCUUGGCCAGGUACAAGUGAUCUGGAGAGAUAAUUAGGUCUGUGAUCCUGUUUUAUAGUGGGAACCUCGAGUUAUCAGAAGUUAAGUAGUCAGUCGAGGGAUAAAUAGACUAGAUUCAAAGAUAAUGAUUCAGUAUGAGUGGUCUGUCAGGGAUGCAGACCCUCUUAAGACAACAGAUUUCAAACGAAGUAGAUGCGAUCAUUUUCGAGGAAUUCGUUCACCUGCGGAUUAUAGGGCUUUGCGAAGAUUGGUCACGGCUACCCUGGAAAGGCAAGGGUGUGCCUAGGAUGGUGACCAUGUUACAAGAGUGGUUGGGGCGUGUAAGGAAGGGUAACGAAUGAUUUCGAGGACGAAAUCUAAUUUAAGUGGGGGAGAGUUGUAACACCCCAUUUAUUUAUUUAAUAAAUAAAUAAACUAAUGAGCGAAUAGUAUCCCUAAAAUAAAUAAUUACAUGUAAAAGGAUGGUCUCCCAUAGCUAAUUGUCAUAAUUUUAGAAGGCGGGGGUUAAAGUGUAAAACCCAAACUCAAUUUGUAAAGAGUUUUGAGGGUUGGGGUUAAAAGGGUAACAUAUGGACUUUAUUUGAAAAGAUAUUGAAGAGGGGGGGUUGUUUGGUAAGUAUUAUACUUACUUUGUAAGGAAUUUUAAGGCUGAGGGUUAAAAAGGUAAAUUCCAGACUCUAUUGGAAAUGAUUUAGAAGGGAGGGACCAUAGUUGUUAUUAUGGGAGAAUGUCGUGAAGGAACUGGGUAUAUAACCCUAGCUUCACCGAUCAUCAACCCUAAACCUAAGGAAUACCCUUCAUCCGCCAUGAGAAAUCUUCAGCCGCCGCCUGCCCUCCUCUUCACCAUUGAACAGUCGUCGGACGCCAAGAGUGGACCGCUAUGCGUGGAGCGCUACCACCACCCGACUCCCUCUCAUUCUCCUAUUUGUUGAAUCCCCGAGCGACUGCCGACGUCAAGACGCUAUUAGAGUCAUUGUUGCUCAAGUUGCCGACGAGGACGCAAGCAAGCGUCUUCUAUUUGUCAUGCCACUAUUGCUAUCGUCGGGGGUUCUGUCGCCGUCGCCGCCUCGCUGUUAGUUCUUUCCGUCAAGGACUGCGCCCGCCGCCACCCUUUCGCCUCCAUCUUCGCUGUCGUCGUUCAUUGCUGCUACGCCAUCAUCUUCUUUGUUUCUUCCCACUAGCCAUUGCCUUUAGCCACCGUUGUGGCCGCUAUGGUUACUGUUGUCGUCACCACGCACCACCAGUGGGUGGUUGCGUCCAAAUUUCGAUCUGCAAGUCGUGUGUGGGUAAAUUAUUGGCUGGAAGACACAAGAGGACCACUAUGGCAGCUAACCAUUGUGGUUGUCGUCGGGAAUGCUUUUUCUGCCACCAUAAGCCACCGUUUGACUUUUGGGCCAUAUGUUGGGCUUUGAUUCCUAGUUUGACUUUUGGGCCUUUGGAUUGGGCCUUAGGCUUGGAUCAAGCCAAAAUGGGGUAAUGUAGUCUGUUACUCCAAGAACUUAUGGUUAUGUGUUGGGACCCAAUUAUUAAUUGGGUGAUGUUUUGAUAUUGACAGUUCGGGAAUUUGUCAUCCAGCAGUUGAGAUUGUGUCUACGGGACUUCAGCAGUGUGAGGUGAGUUACCUUCCAGUAGCGGUGGGUCUACGACCAUAAUGUCGGCCUAUCAGUAGGAGUUGUAUCUUGGAUGAUUGUCUUUGUGAUAUUCAUCUAGGUUGAUGCUACCUGUUAUGUUUAUGUGCUAGCAUGAUAUGAUGUUAUGUGAUAGUGGUAGUAGGGGGUGAAAUAGUCCCCGGUUACCGGUCAAUAGGACCGAAGGGGUAGAUUAGUACACAACUAUGCUAGGCAGAUUAUGAUAUAUGUGAUAUGAUAUUAUCUGGUAGUAGUAGGGGUGAAAUAGUCCCUAGUUACAUGUCGACAGGACCGAAGGGGUAGGCUAGCACCCAUAUAUGCUAGGCAAUAUGUGUUUUAUAUGUUUAUGCUAUGCUUUUAUGUGGUAGUGGUAGGGGUGAAAUAGUCCCCGGUUAUCGGUUGAAAGAUACCGAAGGGGAGACAAGCUCCCGGUUACCGGUUGAAAGAUACCGAAGGGGUAGGUCGGGCACCCAUAUAUGCUUGACAUGGGGUAGGUUGAGCACCUCGGUAUGCUCAACAGGGUAGGUUGGGCACCCAGAUAUGACUGUCAAUAUGUGAUUGUAUCGUAUGUGGUAUGAUGGGGGAACUCAAUAAGUUUCGUGCUUAUAGUUUUUAGUUUUGUUUUCAGGUACUUCGUUUUCAAAGGAAAGGAGUCGACUCGAUCGUAGCGCAUCACGCUAUGUUUUCUGCACAAGAGAUCCUUGGGAUUUCACUAUGAUAUUACUUUAUGAGAACAUGUUUGAUUAUUGAUGUACUGGUUUGACAUGAUAUUUUAUUAUGAAUGUUUUUGUUGUAUUGUUGGUGUUAUAAUAACCUAACUGAAAAUGAAAUUUCUGGCCUUGAAUUUUGGGAUGUUACAUGUAGAAAGUGUAAGCAUAAGGGGCACAAUGCAAGGACCUAUACGGGCCAAGAUGGGAAUUGAUGUUUAAGUACUUAAGUUGUUUAUGUUUGUGAAGACAUGCUAAUGCACUUUAGUUUAUUUAGUAAUGAUUUUUUAUGGUUGUUUAUGAUUGGAAACUUAAUGUCCUUUUGUUGGUACUUUGAUGCCCUUUUUUGGUUCCCUUUUGGUAAUGUACUUUGAUGCCCUUUUAUGGAACACUGUAAUCAACAUGUUUUGGUACUGUACUUUAAUGCCCUUUGUUGGUAAUGAUUUUGUUUUGGCAUUAAUCUGUUAUGGUAUGUAACUCAAUAUACUCAUGUAACCUUUUUUGGUUCCCUUUUGGUAGUGUAUUUUGUUAUUGGUUUAUUUUCUAUUGUUAAAGCAUGAAGAUGUUAUGGAAAUGCACUCAAUAUAUGCAUGUAAACCCAUUACAAUUGAAUAUUCAAGUGAAGACAAAAACCAUUACAAUGCAUAUCAUGUCAAGAUAAAACCUUUACAAUUUCAUAUCCAUAUAAAGAUAAAACAAUUACACUUCAUUUGUCAUAAAAGCAUUAUAUAUCCAAUGAUCCAAAAGACAACACUUACAUCAUAUAUAAACCACCAUUAAACCUUCUAGCACCAAAAGACAACAUUUUCAGGUGGUUAUUACCAACAAAAAAGCCCUAACCUUUAAUUCAUAAUUCUAAAACAGCAGAAACAAUAGAAACAACACCGACGAGGCAACCAAGUACAUAUUCAGCUAACCCACUUCAACCUCAUAGCUAUUUAUUGUUCUCAACAGUCCUAGUAUGAUGACAAUUGAUCUUUGACACAUAGGGGGCUCGAGCCACCCCAAAAAUCCACAUUUGGAUCCCUACAAGAAUACAUUAAAGUAGAAGAGUUUUUGCAUAACUACUAAAAUAUCAUAACCUAAUAUGAGUUUUCUUACCAUUUUAGGGCAUGAAUAGAAACAACAACCAAGGUUUUGUGAGGUCCACGAGGUUCGCACAACAACAACAUUCCCACAGAAGCAAAGCACCAUUUUUGAAGCCCGUAAUAGUAGAAGUAGAUGAGACACGAAGAAGAAGAAUACCUUUCGUUGCUGGUUCUCUGUAAAAUCAAAAUGAAGAAGAUGAAAGGGAUUGCGUAUGAGUAUGUAUAUAAAGGAUAAAUUUGAUAUUAUUUAAAAUAAGGACCUAAAAUGACCAAAAUGCCCUCAUAUUGAGGGCAUGUGAUGGCCCUAAGGGCUCCAAACAAACGGACUAAGACAGAAUGGACUAAAAACCCAUGAAAACCUUGAUUUUGCACCUUCGGUGCAAGCUAAAAAACUUUUUGGACCCCAUCCAAAGGUUUUUUCAAAUCACAAGGACCAAAUUUGCAGUUUUGUCGACAAUUUUAACACUAUUUUUGUCGCAAACACUUCAAAUAUACUUAUUUACAUUACGAAAUAAAACACUUUAUAAAACAAUUUUUUAAAUAUCCUUACUUUCUUCCCAUGAUUUUUGGCACAACCAAGAUUUUUGACACAUUUCAAGAUCAUAAGUACUUUAGUUCUAUGUAUCUUAUCUUAAACACUACACCAUACUAACUAAUUUGGUUAUAAAAUUAAUUUAUCAAAUUUUGACCAAAAUAAAUAUUAUUUGAUGAUUUUAGGGUUUUGACUUAUGCUAGUGCUUUGCUAAUUAAUGCUUGAUAACCGAUUGAGAAUAUAUAUGACUUUUCAUUGUAAAAAGAUGUUUUAAAAGUAUAUUUAGUUGAAUUUAGAGGAUGUCACAUUGUAUUUAAAACAAAUAUAUAUACUUUGAUCCUAUAAAACCACUUAUUGAAAUAUUAUCAUAAAGGAAUAUAUAUAGUGAUAUUGCUUGAUACAUUUAUUAUGUUUUUGUUUUACUACAUUUUUAUAAUGUCAUUUGUUCGAAUAAUUUGGCUUGAAUUUAAAAAUUGAGGAUGGUUUGAUUAUUUAGAGGAUGUCACAUUGUAUUUAAAACAAAUAUAUAUACUUUGAUCCUAUAAAACCACUUAUUGAAAUAUUAUCAUAAAGGAAUAUAUAUAGUGAUAUUGCUUGAUACAUUUAUUAUGUUUUUGUUUUACUACAUUUUUAUAAUGUCAUUUGUUCGAAUAAUUUGGCUUGAAUUUAAAAAUUGAGGAUGGUUUGAUUGUGAAAAUGAAGCCAUNNNNNNNNNNNNNNNNNNNNNNNNNNNNNNNNNNNNNNNNNNNNNNNNNNNNNNNNNNNNNNNNNNNNNNNNNNNNNNNNNNNNNNNNNNNNNNNNNNNNNNNNNNNNNNNNNNNNNNNNNNNNNNNNNNNNNNNNNNNNNNNNNNNNNNNNNNNNNNNNNNNNNNNNNNNNNNNNNNNNNNNNNNNNNNNNNNNNNNNNNNNNNNNNNNNNNNNNNNNNNNNNNNNNNNNNNNNNNNNNNNNNNNNNNNNNNUAUAUAUAUAUAUAUACUGGGGCAGAACAUAAAAAAGUGAAACCAACUGGGCCUUUUUUAGAACAUUGGUAUCAAGACUUUAAGUAGUUUGUAAAGUACAAGGGGUGGAUUUGUAAAAAAAGCACCAAAACAUUGUAUAUAAACGUAACAACACCACAACCCCUUGAACUGCUGAGCGGAAACCCUAGCUGCUGUUUAAACGCCGCCGCAGAUUCAAGGAUCUGACUGAAGAUGAAGGUUUGAAUGCUUUCAAAAUUUACAAUGAACUUUAUUUGUGCUUCCGGUAGUUUAAACAUUCUUAAAUUAUAUCUGCGUUUUCGUAGUUCAACAUUGCCAAUCCCACCACUGGGUGCCAGAAGAAGCUCGAGAUUGACGAUGAUCAGAAACUGUAAGUUUAAUUUUGUUGUUUCAUGUACGUUUUCGUGUUCUGGAUUUGUAACAGAGGUCAUUGUUAAUGGCGAUUUCUUGGAAUAACAUUAGGGUUUCGUAGAAUAUCUGUUUUAAUGAUUUUGUUCAAAUAUCUGUUUUAAGGUUUUUGGUCUAUUUAAUAAGUGAUCAUAUUUUGAGGUAAAUUCAAAGUACUGUGAAAUGCAAAUAGAUUUAUACUGCUUGUUUACCUGAUUUUGUACAAAGCAUGAUAUACACAUUUCGAUCAACGUUGAGGAUUUUUGUGAUUUUAUGUUUGUUGAUUAUUAGCUUUUAAAUUCAAAGCUUGAUAUUUUUUUUUUUGUUACGUGUGAUGUAUAUAAAACUAGGACCACUUAUCAGAUGAUGUUGCAAGUAUAGGGCUUCAUAGAGGUUAUUUUUGGUAAUAUUUAUUUUUUUAGGAUCCAAAUGUAUAAAACCAAUACUAUUAUAUCCUAUGAUGUAGGAAGAAGAUAAACACUUAAACAUGAAUAAUUGAAGAAGUGAAAUUUUAGCAAUUUCUUCCUUAACGUUUUUAAUUUUUUUUUUCUAUUGUUUAGUCGAGCAUUCUAUGACAAGAGGAUCUCACAGGAAGUUAAUGGAGAUGCCCUUGGAGAGGUACAUUUACUUUACAUUUCUUCUUUCUUUUAUUAACAUUAUAUUUAUAUAUCAAUAAUCUAUUUAAAUUAAAUAUAUAUAAUAGGAAUUCAAAGGGUACGUCUUCAAAAUCAUGGGAGGUUGUGACAAGCAAGGUUUCCCAAUGAAACAAGGAGUUUUGACUCCAGGGCGUGUUCGCCUUCUAUUGGUCAGAGGUAAGUAACCUUACUUAUUCAAUCGAGAAUAAGUUGUUAAAACUUAUAAAAAAACAAAUGAAUGAAAGUAUAUUGUUUGUAUCAGGAACACCGUGUUUCCGAGGGUAUGGAAGAAGGAAUGGAGAGAGGAGGAGGAAGUCAGUACGCGGUUGCAUUGUGAGCCAAGACCUUUCGGUUUUGAAUUUGGUGAUUGUGAAGAAGGGAGACAACGAUCUUCCUGGUUUGACUGAUGUGGAGAAACCAAGAAUGAGAGGUCCAAAAAGGGCAUCAAAGAUUCGCAAGCUUUUCAACCUUUCAAAAGAGGAUGAUGUUAGGAAGUAUGUUAACACAUACAGAAGAACAUUCACCAACAAAGCUGGUGAGCUGUUUAUUUUGUAUGAUGUUAGGAAGUAUUUCAAAAGAGUGUUUGUAUUAUGAGAACUAAUUGGAUUGUUAUGUGAACACAGGUAAGGAGGUGAGUAAAGCACCAAAGAUUCAAAGGUUGGUGACUCCAUUGACUUUGCAAAGGAAGAGGGCGAGAAUUGCUGAUAAGAAGAAGAGAAUUGCAAAGGCAAAGUCGGAGGCUGCUGAGUAUCAGAAGCUUCUUGCAAGCCGAUUGAAGGAGCAGAGGGAGAAGCGAAGUGAGAGUUUAGCUAAGAAGAGAUCCAGGCUUUCUACUGCAUCUAAGCCAUCUAUUGUGGCUUAGGUUUUAUGUUGUUUUUGAUUCACAACAUGUUUUUGUCAUAAUUUUGAUCAGAUGUUUUUUGGAUUUUUGUUUUGAUGUUCAACUCUACUUUAUUGUUGGAUGUUAUUAUUGUUAAGUGAGGCUGUUUGGACUAUAUGUUUUUGCUUUUUGGAUUUUGAUUUUGCAGUGCUCAAGUUAAAUUCAUUUUAAACUUAACACGUAAUAUAGGACAUGUAAAGUCAGUGAUAUCUCAGCACCAAUUUCUUGAUGUCUACUAAAAGCUCAAUAUUAAAUAAUAAAUAACUUGUUAUUUGAUGAUAAUUAGUGAUUACUAAAGCUUAAUUUUCAGUUUAAAAUUUAAAUGGCUUUUUCAAGUGUGUAACUAGGUCGUUCUUGAUGUUCACUAAAAUAUUAAUAGAAUAUCAUUAUAAUAUAUUUUUCAGUCCAAAAUGACGUUAAAUUUGGAGUUUUAUAAACAAAAACAAAACUAUAGGUUUAUAAAAAAUAUUAAUAGAAUAUUAUAAUAUAUUUUUCUGUCCAAAAUGAUGUUAAAUUUGGAGAAUUUUAUAAAUAGAAACAAAACUAAAGGUUUAUAAAGUAGUAGCAUUCAUGGGCAUAUGUUUUGGUUCCUUUAAAUAAAUAGUAAGAGCUUCGAUUUUCAGCCUUAUGUUUUAGUUUAUCAAACUAAAAUAAGUUUAUAAUAAUAAUAAAAACAUUAAAUUUAAAAUAAAAAAUAAAAAUCAAACAUUAAGAAUUGGUUAUAUUACAAUUUUUUUGUUCUUUCAAAGAAACUACACCGGAUAAAAUAAAAAUAAAAUAAAAUAAAGGAAAUCACAUUACUUUAAAUGAUCCAUUCAAUCAAAGCAAAACAUACUGUUAUUUCAUCAAAACUAGUAAUCCAGGUAUAAAAUAUAGCAAACCGAAUAAAAAUAUUGUAAUUCUGGUAAAUUACUUUAUUUCAAAAAUGUUACAAAUUAAAUACAAAAAUAAAAUAUGUUGCCUAAAAGUAGUUAUUCAAAGCACCCCACACAGUUUCCUCAACUUCCUCCCAUGAUUUUGCACUCCUCAAUUCUUUACACAUACCAAAAAUCGCCCCUAAUAUAUUCUCCUCGUGUAUUAUACAAUAACACCUGUGCAAAAAUCAAUACCAUUUUCAAUAAUUUAUUUAUAUAUAUAUUCUAUUUAUAGCCUAUUUAUGAAUGACUUACAUUGUUAGGUACGAUAUUCUUCUGACUACACUUCCAUUGUCCCAUGAAUUUCUUUUCCCAAAAGGAAGUCCAUAGUUUUCAAGAAGCAAAUUCAGGAGCUGUAAAUCUCCACGAAAUAUAUCCAAGUGAAUCGGGAUCAAAUCCAAUAUUGGAUCACCUGAAAGAAAAAAAAAAGUAAAUUUGAAACUCAUUUAUGUUUAUGUAAAAAAGACGAGAAUGCCCUUGUUACCUAGAGACAUAUUGCUGAAAUCAUAAAUAUAACUUGGAAGCCAUGAUGAUAUUUCCUUGUCAUUAUUUGACCCAUUCACACCACUAGAGCACUGCUCCAAGUGAAUAUUGUCAUCCAUUAUAUCAGUGUGUACCCAAGAGCAAGAAUUCCUCACUUGAAACAAACCGUUUUUAUCCUAAAAUAAUAAAAAAGAAAAUUCAAAACAAAUAAAUAAUCCAAGUGCAUAUGAAGAACAAUGAAACUAGUUGGACACUACACUACUAACCUUGAACAAACUAUGCAACUCUACAAAGUCAUUUGGGAGAUAUUCAUUAACUUUCUCAAUUAGUGCACUUGGAAUUGGAUAACCCCUGUAUAUAACAUAUAUGAAGAGUUUUGAUUGGGUUGUAUUAUAUGCAAGAAAUGAAAUUGAUAUAAACAAAUAAGUUGAAGCAACUUACCACUUAGUCAAACGACUUGAUACAUCUUUCUUUUUCCUAUUGAGAAUUGUGAAGAAAACCUUUGAUGCUUUUGGGAGGUUGGUUUUUUCAUUAAAAUCAUUCUCAUGGUUCAACCCUAAUUCCUUUCCCAUUUGUAAAUAUGCUGAAUCGUUCAGAGGAGUAACGGGUAAGACAUGGAGAUGAUGCAAUUGCCUCCCUAAAAAGGAAGCUAGAUUCGAAACCUCCUUAUAUGAGAGUGUAUCUCUUCUGAAAAAUUAGAAAAGUAUAUUAAUCAACAAUUUUGAAUUUGAAUCUAUCCAUUCAAAUGAAUAAAAAUCAAGGCUAUUUUCGAUAAUGUGGAUGAGGAGGGUAUUUAUGUCUUUUGCACAAAUGAGAGAUUAUGAACAAGUUCCUAGACUAAAUAAACAAUCUAAAUGUUCAUUUUAGCCUUACAUUCUUAUAAAAAAGGGAAAUCUCCGAUAAAGUCCCAAUAUUUCGGGCCAGUUUACGGUUUAAUCCCACAUUUAUUUUUAAGUAUAUUACAUGAAUGGUCCCUAUGGUUUGGGGUAAUUUGCACGUUUGAUCCCUAACUUAUUUUUUUAACUCGGAAGUUCCAUACUGUUUGUUUUUGUUGCACGCUUGGUCCUUUUCUUACAUAAAAAGAGUAUUUUGCCCUUGAUUUUUUACUUAAUUUAAAUAAACACACCCCAACCCCACUUCCACCUCACAUUACCUUAACUUACCUACCCCACCUUAUUUAAAUAAAGUUAAAAAAUCAAGGGCAAAAUAGUCUUUUUAUGUAAGAAAAUGAACAAGCACACAACAAAAACAAACAGUAGGGACCUUCUGAGUUAAAAAAACAACUUAGGGACCAAACAUGCAAAUUACCCGAAACCAUAGGGACCAUUCGUGUAAUUUACUCUUUAUUUUUUGAACAGAAAAGUCCCGAUUAUCUAAUCUGUCAUUUUCUGUUGUUCAAAAAAUAAAUGUCGGGACUAAACCAUAAACAGAUCCAAAAUAUUGGGACUUUAUCGGAAAUUUCCUAAAUAUAUAUAUAUAUNNNUAUAUAUAUAUAUAUUUUAACAUGAGAGUAUUUGUGAGGAAAAAAGAAGAAAUUUUAGGGUUUAGGGUUUAUGACGUGUGUAAUUAAUGGAGCAAAAGUGUACUUACAAGUCAGCAAAUAUUUUCCCUUUGCAUCGUUUUGUAAUAAUGUAGGGCCAAAUGUUGGUUUGUCCACCAGAAAUGACCAAUUCGUCCAAACUCAUAUCAGCUUUCCUAUACUCAAAUAGCUUUUUGCUCCAGAUGCCAAAAGGGUACUCAGUAUCAGAAAAUAUUUCUUGAAUUGUACUAUUUUUAGUAAUUACAUCAGGUACGCCUUUUCCAUCCCAUGGCACAAUUUUAUAUUUUCCAUUUUCGAUAAAAACUAUCCCACUUGCUAAAAUAUUAGGAACAUGAUGUUUCAAAGUGGAAUCCGAUCUCUGCAUUAUACUGUAGAACUCAAGCUGCAUAGAGAUACAAAACAAAUUACAUAAGGAUUGUUUCAGUUAUAGUAUAUAAAGGUAAAGAGAUAAUACCUCUGUUCCUAAUGCAUGAAUACUAGCUUCUAAACCAUCCUCCACAAAAAUCUUCACAACAUUGUCUGCUACAAGAUAAACCUAUUGGAAAUACAAAUUGUAUCACUUUAAAAUUUCAUAUUGUAAUCACUUGCAAGAUUUUUUUUUUUUUUUUUUUUUUUUUUUUUUUUUUUUUUUUUUUAAAUUAUUGGAAAAUGAACUUACAGGAUUGCUACCAGUGCCAACUGGAAACUUCUCCUCAUCUACAGGCAAAGAAAUAUUAUGGAAGGCACAUAAUUCUUCCAUGCAGUUUGACCAUUUAUUAGCAUGUAACGCAAUACAAGCUCCCUAAAAUUCCACCACAUCAUGUAAAUUAAAAAAAGGAUUAAAUAAACAAAAAAGGGUAAGAAAAAAGUUAGAGUAAAUUACACGAAUGGUACCUAUGGUUUAGGGUAAUUUGCGCGUUUGGUCCCUAACUUAUAUUUUUAACUCGGAAGGUCCCUAUUGUUUAUUUUUGUUACGCGCUUGGUCCUGUCUUACCUAAAAAGACUAUUUUGCCCUUGAUUUGUUAAUUUAUUUAAAUAAACAACACCCUCAACCCCACCCCCUCACCUUACCUUACCUACCCCACCAUUUUUCCUUAUUUAAAUAAUAGUCCUUUUAGGUAAGACAGGACCAAGCGCGUAACAAAAAUAAACAAUAGGGACCUUCCGAGUUAAAAAAAUAAGUUAGGCUGUUAGGGACCAAACGUGCAAAUUACUCCAAACCAUAGGGACUAUUCGUGUAAUUUACUCAAAAAAUUACUACCUUCCAUAUUAAGUCUCUUAAUCCAGGUUUCCCAAUCCAAAGCUUCCAUAACCAAUCUCUCAAUUCCCUUUGUCCAAUACAAUUACUUGUGCUCCAUAACGAAUUAUAAUGGUCUCUAUCCUUAUCCAAAAACAUGGUAAGAAAAUUUAUAUCAUAACAAAACUCCUCCAUGUGGUCAUCAAUUUUCACUCUUUUCUCCUUUCUAGAAAGUUCAUUGUCAUUGUCAUCCAUGGAUGAGAAUUCCCCAUUAUGCCCUUCACUAAGGGCGAGCAAUCCAGCACGACAAACACCUUUAUGUUGAUACCCAGGGGCCAUAUCGAGACAUACAAAUUCAAAAUUUUUUGAGUUCACAUAAUUUUGUGUCACAGCAAUUGUGGUUUCAAGGUUUAGAACACAGUGCCACCACCCAGUUGGAACAUAAAUAGUUUCACCAGGUAGUUGUGUACACUCUAUUGGCUUAUCUUCAUCAGCAAGAAGUGGGUAGAAGUCUAACCACCACUGAGAAUAAAUAAAUAAAAGAUGACAUGUCAUAAGAAAAUGGCAACAUACUUUUGUUGGUUUGUUAUAUAUAUAUAUAUAUAUAUAUAUAUAUAUAUAUAUAUACUUUCAUUUCUUCCUACUACAACAUUGUACUUUGAAAAAUCUAGGGUUAAUCUCAUAAAAGACCUUAUAUUUUGUUUUUUAAUGAAAAAGACCUUGUGUUUUUUCAGUUUUUCUGAUCUGGCCCUUUUAGUCGUUUUUUUUUCAAAAAAGAGUGGGAAAUUUCCAAUAAAGUCCCAAUAUUUUGUGUUAGUUUAUGGUUUAAUCCCAACAUUUAUUUUUUGAACAGAACAGUCCUGAUUAUUUUAUAUUUUGUAUUUUGCUUAUGUUAAUGAAACAGUCUUUAUUUUUUUUCAAUAGAAAAUGACAGAUUAUUGUGUAAAAUUUGAUAAUCGGGACUUUUUUUGUUCGAAAAAUAAAUGUUGGGAUUAAACCGUAAACUGACCCAAAAUAUUGGGACUUUAGUGGAGAUUUCGCAAACGAAGUUGUAAAAUGUGAGGGUUUUUUCAUGAAAAACUAAAAAAGUUGGAGUAUAUUACUGAAAUUGUCCCUAUGGUUUGGUCAAAAUUACACGUUUGGUCCCUAACCUUUUUUUGCACUUGGAUUGUCCUUGUGGUUUGAUUUUGUUGCAUUUUUCGUCCCUAUGGUUUGGUCAAAAUUGCACGUUUGGUCCCUAACUUUAUGUAUGUAAGGGACGAAAAACGCAACAAAAUCAAACCACAGGGACAAUCCAAGUGUAAAAAAAAAGGUUAGGGACUAAACGUGUAAUUUUGACCAAACCAUAGGGACGAUUUCAAUAAUCUACUCAAAAAGUUUGAGGAUUUAUUUGGAAACAUUUAGAAGGUUGAGGGGUUUUUCCGGAAUAAAAAGAAAAGUUGAGUUUUUUUUCCGGAAAAAAAAAAUAUAUUAGGUCUUUUUCAUGAAAAAAAAAUAAAGAUGAGGUUUAAUCCGUAAAGAACACAAAAUAUAAGGUCUUUUAUGAGAUUAAACCAAGAAUCUACCUAGUUAUAGCAAUGUCAUCCAAAUACAAAGCAAUUUACACUGCUAUGAUUGGGUAGAUUUUUCAAAAAAGUGGAAGUAUAGUACUAUAUUUGGGUAGUUUUUUCAAAGUUAACAUCAACAUUCUUUAUCAUUUAUACAUCAUAUUACCUGCAAUGAUGAUGGAGUUUCAAUGUCAACAUCACCAUCUUCAUCAUUUACAUGUACUGUUACACCUAAAGGUACUCUUCCAGGAGGAUACAGGGCCCACCUAUUAAAAUAAAAGUAACAUAUAACUUACAACACUCACAGUAAUAUGCCAAAUUUAGGACAUAAGAAGUACUGAAAAAUACUCAUGGCAAAAAACAAGAAGUCCUUCGUGUUGUUGUAGCAUAUUAUUCUUUCACAAAAAAUAGUCCAAAACUAGUUUUAAAAUUCAUUUAACAUUAUGUUAUUGAAGUAUACUACGAAUCUAAGCACCAAAACAACUUAUAAGCAUACUAAACAAAGGAAUAGAUGAAAGCAUGCAUGAUAAAAGAAAACAAUUUUCUUGAAAUUUUAUAAAAAUUACCUUUUACGCCCACACAAAAGAGUAUUCCAAGCACUGGUAAGAGCAGGAUCAACAUGCCAAGAUGCACCAGAUCUCUCUGGUCCAAUAAUAAGCCAUCUAAAAGGUGGUCUUUGAUCAUUAGCUAAAACAUCAAAAUAGUCAUCUGGGAAUAGAUUUGGCACAUUGUAAUCUUUUAAUAAAUCUGGUGCAACUUCUCCAAACUGCAAUUACAAACUCAUAUUUCUUAUAAACUAUCAAUAGAAAAUGGGGAGGUGGAGAAAUAAAUGAGAGUAAGAAAACGUACAUUGUCAUCAAAAAUGUAUAGGGGAUCCUCAUCAUGUUGUUCUUGCAUGUAGGACACAUAAUCCUCAAACUUCAUGGAUAGUUUUUUAGCACUUCUUUGAGAGAUUCUGAAAGGUGUAGUUCCAUAUUUGAGUAGUAGCUGUUCAGGAGUCCAGGUUUUUCUUGCAGCCCACGUAUCAGCCAAUCCAGAAAUUAGAACCUACAUGGAGCAAGAUAGCAUAACUUUCUGAAUCAAAUAAUAUAAAAAUACAAGUGCAGAUAACUUUUUGAAUUAAAUGAAUGACUUACAGGUUUAUGUGCAUCAUAUUGCUGAAGGAAUUCAUCUGGUGAAAUGUCUGUCUUUCUUUCAACAUUUCCUUGAUCAAAAGCAAACCCAUUUAACUGAGUAUAGCAACGAUAUAAUCGCUUAUACAGGAAUAAAGAGUUAAAUCCUGUAAAUAGAAGUGAUGUAACAUUUAGUAAAGCAGCUAAAGUGAUUGAAAACUAUGACAUGUGAAUGUGAUAGAAUUGAAUACCAUCAAAGUGUAGUGGUUUUCUGUAAGGGUCAUCAUCACAUUUACUCAGAACUUGCAGUCUGCAGUUCAUAUUAGGCGUGUUAAUAUCAUAUUCUUUCAAAGAUGUCACUGAGAAAAUUACAUGUAAAUUGAAUUAAAGCAAAAGGAAAUUCUGAAAACCUACCGAUUCAGUGUUGUCCUCUUCCAUGAUCCUUUGUACUGAAGCUCAUGAUUUUCAUUAUUAAGGCAUAAGUUCAUCCACAAAGGUUCUUCAUUGCAGAGGAUAUACAUCACACUGCAAACCAUAACCCCAAUUAAGCAGAUUCAAUUUCGUUCAAUUGAUUCCUACUCUAUGAACUUAGCAAGAUUGUGACAAGAGACCUACUUUGUAAACAUUGCUAGAAAACAUUAAAAAGUAUGCACUAAGAUCUUUGACAGAUCUAAGUUCAGUUUUUGUCAACGUAUCGAAAACUUGAAAGGAGUAAGUAAAUCGAAUUGCUUAUUGUUUGAAGAUCACAAUAAGCAUUCAUUCUAAUUGUAAUCAAGCCCAUAAGUAUGAUCAUCCUCGGAAAUGUCCCAAAUUAGUAACCUUCUCUUACUUCUAUAAACAUAAUAUACACCUGAAUUUCGAAUUUGGAAGAAAACAAAGUACGAGAAAUUUAACAACCUGCUAGCACAAGCAAGACGAGCGACAUCACGAGGUGAGAGAAGAGUAAGUAUCGAACAAACGAUCUCAUCCGGAAGGACAUGGAAUCCUCCAAGAGCAUCAGGUCUCCGAUCUCUCGGAACAAAUUGAGCUUGCGAAUUCGCGUCCACCUCCAUUGAUUGCUUCCUUAAUCUCAAAACUCAAUAGGGGUUUUAAUUUCUCUCUAUAACUACUUUCUCAACUCGUAUCUAUAUUGUAAUGAAAAAGGGCGCGAUUCCUGCUUAAUGUUUAGGCAAUUGUGCGGUGGCGCGUAGGCUGAUUUUUCUAUUUUCCUUAACCGAGGAUUCGCCGCGUGCGGCUGAGGAUCAGAUUCCCGUUGACGUAACUCGUAAGUGACAAACACGGAGCUAGAAAGUUGUUGAUUAUUGCAAUUCGGACCUUCAAGUUCUAUAUCUUACACUACGAUCGGAGUUCAGACAAAGUUUAAUCUUCACAUUGGAUAGAAAGUAGGACAAACUAUGAGAAAUCGCUCUACAAAUUUAUAUAGCUACCAAUUGGGUAUGUAUUUUAUUUUAGGGUAAAUUACACCAUUCGUCCCUCGUGGAUAUGUCAGAAAGCGUGUUUAGUCCUUAUUAUCAAAAUUUAACUCGGACCGUCCCUCGAGUUGUUUUUUCUUGCACGCUUAGUCCCUCCGUAUAUAAAAAGACCAUUUUGCCCUUAUUUAUUUAUUUUUUGAUUUUUUUUCUAUUUAUUUGUUGUUUAUUAAUUAUUUAUUAAUUUGUUUAUUAUAAAAAAUAAAGAAAUACUCUUACAACUCUUUCUCUUCUCUAUUACUCUUUUAGGAACCUCCCAGUAACCAACAUUCAUCGCCAUCGGGAACCACCGUUCACCGCCAUUGGAGACCACCAUCAAACGUCGAUUACCACCGGUUCUCUCCAUAUCUCUCUCUCUCUCUGACCUUUCUCACUCGCCAUUAUCCCCUCUCAAAACUUUGGUACCUUCACCUAUGACCGAUAAUACCUCCUGAACAACCAUCAUUUGACUACCCCCUAAAAAACACCAUUCACCACCACCUAACAAAACCAAAACAAACCUGUAAUCAACACCAAAAAGACAAUGGAGCUCGAUCUGAAACCCUAGGUUGUUUCUGAAAACCUAGGCGGCGUUUGUUCGAAACUUAGGCAAUAGGGAUCUGGAGAGACGAAGAUGUUCCUGAGAUGGUGAAGGUUCAAAACAACUUACCUCUGAGACAAACGGUGUACAUCACACUUCCAGAUCUGUGAGCUUUGACGAACUACCAUCUCCGUCUCCAGAUUUCAGCUCCAGUGAACCACUGAUAAACCCCAAUCUAGCACCACCAUUUUCGAAAUGAUGGCUAACAAACCCGAUUCUAUGAACGUUCAUCGACAGAUCUUAGUGGUUCAUAGACGUUUUUCCACAGAUAAACUAUCUGAUUAUCACCGUAAAUUGGUUCUACAGAGGCAGCAAUUAAAAGGUUUAACUGAUAAUGUUAAUCCGUUCAUUUUUUUAUUGUUGAUUGCGAUGAUAUCAAGGUUUACAUAGAGUCGAUUAGGAUUAGGUUGAUGUAUUAUAACGAUUUAAGGAGGAAUCUGAUGAAGGAUGAUGUUCCUAGGGUUCUUGGUAUCUUGAAGGUAAAGGAAGUAGCGGAAUGUAACGGAGCUGAGAGAGAAAAAAGAAAUAAGAGUAAAUUAAAAGUGAAUUAUAAUUAACAAGGGAUUGGAAUUACUUUUUUUAUUUUUUAUUUCUUUUAAAUACAAAAUCAAUUAUAAUUAAAAUAAAAAUAAGACAAAAGGGCAUAAUAGUCAUUUUAUGUCGCAUAAGGGAUGAAACGUGCAAAUUAAAACUAACGAGGGAUGAAACGUGCAAGUUUUAACCAAACGAGGGACGGUCCGAGUUAAAUUUUGAAAAUAGGGACUAAACACGUUUUUUGGCAUGUGCACGAGGGACGAUUGGUGUAAUUUACCCUUUAUUUUAUAAUUAAAACUAUAUUUUUUAUUCAACAAAACAAAUAUUCAUUUAAAAUGUAAGGAAACAUAUUUAUAAAUCUGCUCUUUCAAAAAAAAAAUAAUUAUAAACCAAUGCCAUGAUAGAAGUUACAUCAUAUUUGUAUAAAAUAAAAUUUACAAUAUCUAUCUUUAGGUUUUAUGGGCUGCAAUUUUAGGCAUUUCUUUAUGUGAUUUUCUUUUUGCUAGUUUAUGUUUAGUGUGCAGUAGGGGUGUCAAUUUAUGACACGACACGACAAAAAUACACGACACGAAACGAAAUCGGGACGAAAUCAAAAUUCGAAUUCGUUUUCGUGUCGUGUUCGUGUCAAGUUUAUAAAACACGAUGUCGUGUCGUGUCGUGUUCGUGUUUACAAAUCCACACGAAAUUGACACGAUUGAGCAUGUAUUUGUCGUAUUUUCGUGUUUGUCGUUUUUAUCGUGUUAUAUAUGAUUAAAUAUGAAUUAAAAAAAAAGAAUAGUUAUGUAAUAUUAUCUUUGUCAUGUCGUGUCGUGUUGUCGUUUUUUAAUUGGUUCGUUUUCGUGUUAGUGAAAAAAAACACGACAUCGUUUCGUGUCGUGUUCGUGUUACAAAAAACCUUAUCGUGUCGUGUCAGACAAAAACACGACACGACGGCCCGAUUUGACAGGCCUAGUGUGCGGUUUGAUAUUUAUUUAACCUAAUUAACCAAAUUAUAAUUAUUAUUAGAAAGAAAUUGAAAAGUAAAUGGAGAAAUUAAAUAUUCUCAAAGGUUCAGGAUCAAUGUCAUCUGUAGCUGCCUAAUUUGCCCCCUCAAUGCUUCCAUGUUGUAAGGUUAGAUAUUGUAUAGAGAUACGGAUGCAAUCUACAACAUUUACUUCUUUGGGUUCUUUUUGUGUGGUGAACAGGGAAAGGUUCUUACUUGGCAGUGUGUGCUUUUCCCCUUGUGUUAUUAACCAAAUCAAUAUAGUAAAAAGGAAAGCAUACCCCACCUUUCAAGUUAUAUAACCGCAAGAUAUUUUAUAUAUAUAUAUNNNNNNNNNNNNNNNNNNNNNNNNNNNNNNNNNNNNNNNNNNNNNNNNNNNNNNNNNNNNNNNNNNNNNNNNNNNNNNNNNNNNNNNNNNUAUCAUUAUUGUUAUAUACUUAUAAAUGAAACAUUUUUCGUUUCACAACAUUCAUUUGAAACUUCCAUGGACUUUUCCUUUCACAACAUUCAUUUGAAACUCCAUUUACUUUUCAAUUUCUUUCUAAUAAUAAUUAUAAUUUGGUUAAUUAGGUUAAAUAAAUAUCAAACCUAAAGUGUAAUCAUAUAUAAACUAAAUUUCAAUAUUAAAAUAAUAUCUUUACUUCUACUUAUAAAGUUAUGUUUUUAACUUUUAACAUAUUAUACCUAAUUUAUUAGUUUUUAAUAUAUUGUUUGGAUGUAAAUCGUUAUCAUUUUAAAGAUACAAUUUUGGAGCAAUUUGUAUAAAAUAGUUAAAUUAUUAGUUUAAAUAUAACAUUACAGGGUCAACUUAAAUAUAAAUUUUACUUUAACUUAAACAACCCAAAGAAUAUUUUGUAAAUAUUUAAAAGUGAUAAAUUGUAGUGUCUUUCUAAUAAUGAUUAUAAGUUGGUUAAUAAGGUUACAUAAACAUCAAACGUAAAGUAUAAUCAUAAAUAAACUAAAUUUCAAUUUUAAAAUAAUAUUUUUACUUCUACUCAUAAAGUUAUAUCUUUAACUUUCAACAUAUUAUAUUUAAUUUAUUAAAUUUAAUAUGUUGUUAUAUGUAAAUCAUUGUUAGUUUAAAGCUACAACUUUUAAACAGUUUGGACAAAAUACUUAAAUUGUUAAUUUAAAUACACUACAGGGUCAACUUCAAUAUAAAUUUCAGUUCCACUUUAAAAACCCAAAGAAUAUUUUGUGAAAUGUUAAAAGUGAUAAAUUGUAUACAAUACUUAAAUUAUUAAUUUAAAUAUAACAUUACAAGGUCAACAUAAAUAUAAAUUUUAGUUUAAUUUAAACAACCCAAAAAAUAUUUUGUAAGUAGUUAAAAGUGAUAAAUUAUUGUGUCUUUCUAAUAAUAAUUAUAAGUUGGUUAAUAAAGUUAAAUAAAUAUCAAACCAAAGUGUAAUUAUAAAUAAACUAAAUUUCAAUUUUAAAAUAAUUGUAACAUCCGGAUUCUCAGGUAUGAUCAUAUAAUUAUUUAUUUUGAGAUAUGAGGAGUGACUCGACGAGUUGAUGCCCUAACUCGUCGAGUAGGAUUGUGAAUGAUGACUCGGUUUAAUGAGUGGAUUCGACGAGUCGGUGAAUGGACUCGACGAGUCCGUGCUGUUGACAGAAACCCUAAAUCCUUGGGCAUGUGCCCUAUUUAAGGGUCCUUAUGGCCUUCAUUUGCGGCCACCCUUUCCAGAGAAAAGAACCUUAGCAUAUUUGAGCGUGUGGAGAGAGAGAGAGAGAGAGAGAGAGCCAUCUUGAGCCAUUUGUUGUGAUUUUGCUAAGGAGGAGAAGUGAUCCAUCAAGAAGGACCAAAGGAGGUUGUUGUUAUGAGACUUUCGGGCAAGGAGACUUCACUUUGAGGUAGCAAUUCGGCCCUUUUCUUCUUUAUUGUGUAGGCUUAUUUAAUCAAGGGUUUCUUUACCCUUUCUUGAGUUGGAAUAAGAAGCAUGAGAAGUCCCAAUGCAAAAUAGACCUUAGAUUUGGACCUUGAGAGGUCCAGAGAGUCCCAAUCAUCCAGCUUUAUGCAGUCCCUUUGGGGUUUUGGAUCUUGGUUGUCAUAUUAAGAGCUAAUUCAUCAAAUAGAGCCAUAUGAGUGUUGCAUGAGCAUAAAGAUUGGACCUUUAUGUGACUUUUGAGUGUUUACAGGUCAGAUUUACAAGUUAGAGAAACAGGUCUGACCUCAGAAGGUCAUUUGGGAGUUGCCAUGGAGGAAACUCGUCGAGUCCAUGAGAGGACUCGACGAGUCAAGUCGGGUUGCCCUUCGAUUCGGGAUCAGUGGUAACCUGUCGAGUGAAAGGUUAACUCGACGAGUCGAGUAAGGCCUUAAAAGGAUUCAAAAGAUGCGCAUGAACUCGCUGAGUCCCACGAGUGCACUCGGUGAGUCUGGUCAAAGUUGGAUCGUUGACUGAGUUGACUUUCGUUGACUUUUAGGGUUUGGUCAACAAUUGGGUUUUUGGGUCUUGGAGGGGUAAAAUGGUCUUUUACCCUUCUGAGGAAUUAUAAGGGGGAUCAAUCUAGCCUUUGAGAGCUGUUGUUAAUUAGAUGAAAAUUGUUUAUUUGAUUAGGCGGAGGCUAGAUCAGUAUUCGAGAUUCGAGAUUAUCCGAGUUACCCAAUGUGAGUCUUCUCAUUAUACAUUACCUUGAGUGGUACGUAUGUGCAGACCGGAGGGUCUUAUGUGCAUAUGUAUGUUUUAGAUUUAUGUGCAUUGCGUUAUAUAUAUAUAUAUAUAUAUAUANNNNNNNNNNNNNNNNNNNNNNNNNNNNNNNNNNNNNNNNNNNNNNNNNNNNNNNNNNNNNNNNNNNNNNNNNNNNNNNNNNNNNNNNNNNNNNNNNNNNNNNNNNNNNNNNNNNNNNNNNNNNNNNNNNNNNNNNNNNNNNNNNNNNNNNNNNNNNNNNNNNNNNNNNNNNNNNNAACGAUACAGACCGGACCGAAGGGUCCAACGAGCCACGGGACUGGAGGGUUCCGCUGAGACACAUUGACCGGAGGGUCAUACCGAGUUAUAGCCUCGAGUGUCUUAUGUGAUGUAUGUGGUAUUUUGGGGAACUCACUAAGCAUUUAUGCUUACCGUGUUAUGUGUUAUGUGUUUCACGUACCAGCGAGGAUCGCGGGAAGGCGCCGACAUGAUUUGUACACACUGGUUGAAGAUUAUGUUUUUGAGAUUCUUGGAUAUGUUUAUUUGUGAUAACAUUUGAUAACAUGAGAUUUGAGAAUAUUAUUUAAGUUUUAUUGUGUUGAAAAAUGAAAAAUUGUUUUGAAAAAUUAUAUUGUUACAAGUUGGUAUCAGAGCCUUGGUUUGAGGGAUUCGGAUGCACAUUCGGGAAUAUCUGAACUCAAACUGAGGAUUUGAGAAGAUUUUCAUAAAAUAAACAAUUUUUCUAAAAAGAGUAAAAGAUUUUUAGACAAGCAGAACGGAGCAGUGUUGUGACAACCCGAUAUUUCAACUCUUUGUAACGACCAAAAUGNNNNNNNNNNNNNNNNNNNNNNNNNNNNNNNNNNNNNNNNNNNNNNNNNNNNNNNNNNNNNNNNNNNNNNNNNNNNNNNNNNNNNNNNNNNNNNNNNNNNGAUUUCCCAAAAUACCCUUACAUUAUGUGUUAUGAGAUAUUAUGCAAUAUGAUAUGCAUGCUAGAGUGGGCUAGGUAUUCAUAUCUAGGACUAGAGUGGCCUGAUUUGUGAUGCCUUAGCCUAGGAGAUUUAUGCUAAUAUGAGAUACUUCGAGAGUGAGUAGGUAGCAGCAAGGAGCUUAUGUGUGGUCUACUGGAAGGUAGCAUGUGUUUAACGAGAUAUAUAGUACUUGUGAUCUGGGAUCCUACGAGAAGGACUUAGGGUGAAUACCGAUGCGUUGUGGAAGGUAGUAUAGGGCCCGUACUACUGGAAGCACCGGAUCAGUGAACAAUCCAAGUAAGAAUCCUUAGGGUACCAAGGAGCAAGUAGGGUUGAGUAUCAAGUGCGAGUAUACUCAAGCGAGUCUCUGAUAUCUUUUGUGUUGUGUUUCAGAGACGUCAUGGUUGGGACACGCCACACACCAAGGGCAGUGACGUUAGCAACGAGGAGAUUCGUCGGAUGAUUCAUGACGAGGUGGUCGCGACGAUCCGGGAGGCCAUUCCGGAGAUGUUUGGGUCUAUCAAGACCACAUUGAUUGAGACGUUUGACAAGAGGUACACUGCUGUUACUUAGGCGGCUGCUGCUGCAGCCACAAUAGCUGUUGCUGCCGCGAGACCACAGGGGGUGAUUCGUUGCUGUACCGAGAGUUCAGACAUUGAGGGAUGCUUCUACACCUGUUCUUGUACGGAGCAUCUGAGGGCAUGGUUCGCUUUGAACCAGCUUCUCUUGGGAGCGAAGGACUGGUGGAAAUUUGUGACGGCUGAUUUCACUUCUGCAGAGAUGAUAGCGGUGACCUGGGAGAGGUUCACCACCAUGUUCCGAGAUGAGUAUGUUCCCCUAGUGGAGAGGGACAUGGGAACGAUUGGCGCAGGAGUUCUUUUCCCUCAAGCAGGGGACGGAGUCUGUGACGGUGAUUACAUCGAUGUUUCAUGAGAGGGCGUUGUUUUGCCCUAAGCAUGUGUCUACUGAGCAGGCACGCAUGAGUCGAUAUCUGAGCAUUCUGAGGAGAGACAUUCAUGAGUUCGUGGCGAACUCAACAUAUCGGAUAUUUGCCGAGCUCCAGGAAAAUGUCCGGAAGAGGGAGAUCGAGCUAGAGACUCAGGCCAUGGAGGAGGCCGAGUCCCAAAGGAGGGAUGGGCGGCCGACACAGUCUCAGCCGACAGCCAAGCGGGCAAAACCCGUUGAUUCGAGAUCUGGGGGACAGAGGGGCCGCACUUAUGGGAAGUGCGGCAAGAUCCAUGAGGGAGUGUGCAGAGCAGGGGUGUGCUACAAGUGUGUCAAGGAGGGGCAUUUCGUGAGGGAUUGCCCCAAGGGGUUUACAGUUUGCUUUUACUGUAACCAGACUGGCCAUCGAAAGGCUGAGUGACCAUAGCUACUUUAGGGAUCAACUCAAGGGUCUGCACCUGCUGCUAGGGCUACCGAGGCUCGGCCAGCGAAGGCCGAGGCACCGAAGGCUCGCGGGAGAGUCUUCCAGUUGACAGCGGAGGAGGUCUGCGCAGCGCCCGAUGUCGUGGCUGGUAUGUAUUCAUUUAUUUACUUUCUCUGAGUUUGAGAUAUUAUUCUUAUAUUGUGAUAUGCAUAGGUACUUUUCUUGUGAGUUAUGUACCUGCCUUAGUGUUAUUUGACUCGGGCACGAGUCGAUCUUUCGUUUCAUUAGCAUUUAGCCAGCACAUCAGUAUCUGGCGGGAGGCGUUGAGUCGCCCUCUACGAGUUUCUAUAGCCGACGAGUGAGCGGUGUAUGCUACAGAUGUGAUUCGAGGAUGUGUACUCGAGAUUUUCAGUGUUGAGUUCCCGAUAGAUUUGGUACCGAUUGCGAUGGGGGGUGUCUGUGUCAUCGUGGGCAUGGACUGGUUGAGCCGAUUUUUAGCUGUUAUCGACUGCGAGCAUCAGUUGGUGACCAUACGAGACCCUAGUGGGGGAGUGCUUACGGUGUAUGGCGAGGGUACCCGGUCUGGGUCAUCAUUUUGCUUGGCUGCCAGAGCAAGACAGAGUCUACAACAGGGCUGUUGAGGGUUUGUAGCCUAUGUGAUGGAUACACGAGUUGCUGCAGAAAGGCCUAGUUCUGUCGACAAGGUUCUGAUAGUGCGCGAGUUCCCGAAUGUUUUCCUCGAGGAAUUGUCGGGUGUGCCUCCAGAGAGGCAGGUGGAGUUUCAUAUCGAUUUAGUUCCGGGAGCAGCGCUUAUUGCCAAGUCAUCCUAUCGCCUUGCGCCACUAGAGAUGCAGGAGUUAUCCUCGCAGCUUUAGGAGCUGCUGGGGAAGGGAUUCAUUCGACUGAGUAGCUCGCUGUGGGGAGCGCCAAUCCUUUUUGUCAAGAAAAAGGAUGGCUCACACCGGAUGUGCAUUGAUUACCGGGAGUUGAACAUGUUGACGGUCAAUAACCAUUAUCCACUACCGAGGAUCGAUGAUUUGUUCGAUCAGUUGCAGGGGGCGUCUUGGUUCUCCAAGAUAGACUUGAGAUCUGGAUAUCAUCAGAUGAGGGUGCGUGAUGAGGAUAUCCAGAAGACGGCGUUUAGGACUCGUUAUGGGCAUUACGAGUUCGUGGUGUGACAACUGUCUUCAUCAACAACGAGAUUGAUGAAAUCAAUCAGUUUAGAUAAGAGUUGGUUACUUUCUUUUAUGUUUAUUCUUUUUUAUUUGAUUGAUUUUUUGAAUUUUUGAAUCAGGUGAUUGGCUAAAGAGAAUGGAUCUUCACAAUCAUCUGGUACUAUCAUCUUAAUUCAGACUAAACAUGUUUCAAUCAAUGAUGAUUUCCUAAAAGAUCAUGAGGUUAAGACAAUUUUUAGAAGUAAAGAACCUGUCCGGGUAAAUAAAUAUUUUUAGAAACAUAUCUUUAUAUAAAAAUGGUUGUUAACAUCUUACUUUCUUUCAAGUAAAUUGAAAAGUUCCUAAUUGUGGGUACGAUAAUAGGAAUCCGCCAAGACACCCUUGGUUUUACCAAAAUUUUCCUGACUAUCAUACAAAGGCAGUCGAAAACCCGGGUAGCAAUGAAGAUGUGAAACUUUUCAAGUGUACAAAUGUUGAAUGCAACAAGUCCACUAAAGUUGUUGUCCCAAGGUUUUUUAUGAAAUCAAUUUAAAUUACAAAUUAGGUUUUUUCUUUUUAAUUAACCAUGUUUAAUUUGUUAUAACUUUGUUUUUUAGAUACAUGAUUCCAGUUUGUGUACAAGACGAUUCUGCUUCUACAAUCUUAACUAUGUUUGAUGAAGAAGCAUAUGGGCACUUGGGGAUUUCAGNNNNNNNNNNNNNNNNNNNNNNNNNNNUAUAUAUAUAUAUAUAUAUAUCUUAUUAUCUUUACCGUUUAAUCCUUAUGUAAUAGUUAUUUUUACCAUUUUUCAGCUUGGACUCAAUUUGUCCAUAUAGCGACAGAAAGUACCACUUCAUAAGACAUCAAGUAGAAGAGGGACACCUUGUGGUGAAGAGGAUAUCGUCAGAGGACAACCCAACAGAUCCCUUUACGAAGGGACUGAGUAGGGUUAGGCACUUGCAGCAUGCAAGGGGCAUUGGGCUAAUGGCCAAUAUUAGUUUUAGUGAUUAGGUAAAUAUUUAGAAACUUGUAAUAGCUAAAUUGUAAUUAACAUUUGAUGAUUAAAUAAAAGGAGUUUUAUUUAUAACUAAAGUUACUGUCUUGUGUCAAUUAUUUACUAUUGUUUCACUUUUGCAUGUUUUGACUUCCAGAAUAAUAAGAUUAUUCAAACUAUCCACAGUCGAUCAUACUUUAGAAGUAGGUUAUGAGGCUAGACUGUCAUGAGUUGGCUUAUAGAUUGUCUAAGGUGUUAGACAUAGCAAAAGUUUUGAUACACCAUUCAUGAGUGCUCCUGAAAUAAGAUUUGAGUAUUAGAUUAAACUCAUGCUCACAUGAAUCACUUCAUGAAAUUUAUCACGAGUGAUUGUGAGACGAUAAUAUCAUAUAAUCUUCAAACCAAGAUAUAUGAGUUGUUGACUACGAGUUGGUUGUGCAUUGAAGAUAUGUAAACGCAUCAGUAACUUGAUGUUAAAAAACAUAUCGUUGUGCAUGAUUUAAUGAGUAGUUAGUACAAGCAUAUAAUGUCAAAGUUUAUAUGUUCCUUUUAUCCUAAGAGGAUUAAAAGUGAUACCUUGGGCCCCUCGAUGAUUUGUUUUGACUUAUGUGCCGGGCCCGGUCAAAACUAAAUUGAUGUGUUCAGUUAUAUUCUAUGUCAAACAAAUCGGAAAUCGGGAAACAAACUGUAGGACAAUAAGUAUGAAUAUGUUCCAUGUAUUUGUCUGCAUGAUAUCUUGAAGAACAGAGGAAUAUAUGAUCCCUUAUCUAAAGGACGCAUCACUGACUAGCUCAGAGUUUGACAACGACUUUUGAAAGCUACGAUUGCUAAGUCAGAUUUUGAAGUUACAUUGGCAGCUAUAGUUAUUAGACUUAUCUAAGUGGGAGACUAUUGGAUUAAAUUUCUAAGACCACAACUAUAACUGGGAUGUACUUGACCCGAUAGUAGCAUUGUCCUUUUGGGUUGCCUUCACCAAUGCAAUUUGAUAGGAUGGACUUUUGAGAAUAAGGUUAUUUGUGAUUUAUUAAUAUAUUAUAAGUAUAAUAUAUUAAUUGAGAAAUCAUAUUAUUUAACUAGUAUUGAUCAAGAAUUAAUUUGGAAUUAAUUUUGUGAUCAAAAGAGACUGAUUAAAUAUACGGGUAUUGAUUAAGUAAAUCAAUGAUUCUUAUAGUGUGGACCAAUGAUCCAUGGUUAAUUAGGAUGGGCUAAACCAAUAUGAUAGUCCAUGGAGGUUUAACCCAUGGAGCCUAAGUAAUAUGAAGGGUUGUGGUGCAUUAUGGUUUUCAUGGAUGAAACCCUAGCUUUUGCAACACUAUAAAAACAACUCCCUAGAGCCAAAAUCGGUUGACCAUUCAUUAUAAGAGAGUGAUAAUCAAUUUUGAGCUAACUAGCCUAUUCUCUCAAGUCUCAUCUUGCAUUUGGUGUUUGUGACACAUUAGAGGCAUCACCCUUGAGGUGCUAAAGCUUUCUAAGGCCAAGAACUUCAAACUACAUAAGAGGUAUUCAUCUAACUAUGAGUUUUAUGUUGUAUAUCCUCUAUUGUAUGCUAGUUAGGAUGUAUGCUUUGGAAAAUUGAAAUUGCAUGUAUAAUUAGAGAAAACAUAGAUCCACAACAUCUAGGGUUGCAUGUGCACUAUAGGAGUGUUAUAGUGCUUAAAACCCAACAAUAUAUUCCAGUCCUAAGGCCUCGCCUAACAUGGUUCUGCCCCUACUCUGCUAAUGGUGAGAUAUGGAACCCCGUCCACACUCAGCUAGUGAUGAGAUACGGGACCCCGCCCACACUCACCUCCCUACCAUGCACAUACAAGUAUCACAAAGACAACAAGUAUAACUAAACAUGCAUUCCUUCAUCGCAUAUCACCCGGCAUCGAACCAGAGUUCGGAAACAUACAUAUAAACAUUCAUCGGGCCCCGCCCAACAUCGGACCGUAAUUCAAAAAGCAUACAGACAUUCCUCGGGCAUCGCCCGACGUCAGACCGUAAUCCGGAACAUACAAUAUAGACACAUGCAGGAAUCACGAAGACAUCAAGCAUACUAACAUUCCUUGGGCACUGGCCGAUAUCGGAUCGUAAUCUGGAACCACAUAACAUAAAUAUAGGCCGACAUUGGUGCCUUUGACCCGUUCAAACAGGAGGAAACUCACCUCGCAAAGCUGAAUCUCACAGAUAGUCCUCUGGCUGCUAGCUGGUAGAUCCUCAAACUGUUGAUCUCUCGACUCCUUGAGCUACCAUUACCAAAAUAACACUUAGUUAAAACCAAUAAUCUUCCUUAGGGUAAAAUGACCGUUUUACCCCUAAUCUGAUUUGGUCCAUACCUAAGGCCCAAUACUAGGGAGACUUCCCAAGCCCACUAGUGGCCACUAAUGGCCAAUUUUCUAAUUUGGGCAUACCCCUCUAAUGGGCCUUACCCUAAAGCCCAAACAUAUACUUAUCCCAAAAUGUAUGGCUUUUUAUGGCCCACUAAGGCCCAAAGAAACAAAUUCCAUGCAUUGGCCCAAACCGAGGCCCAAAAUAUGAAAAGCCCAAAUCUGUUGAGUACGUCGCGCGUACUCCUCUAUACGCUAAGCGUACAACUUGCAUGUCUUGUACGCUGCACGUACGGUUUUUGUACGCCCAACGUACUAACCUGUUUAGCCAUAAAAUCCAAAAAGGCUUAAUCCCUUAAGACCUUAAGCUCCAAAUGAAAAUAUGAGUCGACUAAAGUGUCUUAACCCGUAAAGUCGAUUACUUGGUGGCUUGCAACCCACCAAAUGGACCCAAACUUGAAAUAUGGCAACUAACUUCCAUGGAAAUGACCAUAACUCUUGCAUAAGCCCAUUAAGACCUUCAAGAUGGCAACUUUCUACCUUAGGGACUCAUAUAGCAUCAAGGGUGGCAAACCUAAGCCUAGAAACGGAUUUGAAACCAUAAAGUUCCAUUCUUGGGACUAAAAGGUUCAAAACUCAACAUUAUGUUCCUUUUAUAGUGCCAAACCCUAAAAUUAGGGUUUUGGUCUGAAUGAAGUACGCCCCACGUACCUCUUAGUACGCCCGGCGUACUCACAAACCACCCGCAACCAAUUGACUUUGUACGCUGGGCGUAACCCAAAUUACGUUGGGGGUACACAGCUAAACACGUGCAUGCAUGGGACUGCCUUGCCAUAAAUAUUCACUAGGGACUAAAAUUUUGAAUAACUUCAAAGUAUCAUAUCUUCCUCAUACGAGGUCCAUUUCCGACGAACUUUAUAUCCACGAAAAGGCGGCGAGAAGCCCUACACUGCUAACAACACGUCCAAACCUUAAAACCUUCUGAAUAAAACCUAAAUCUCAUAAAUAGCUCAAACUUCCAAUUUACCGAUAUACCUUUUGGCUCCAAGACACAACCCAACUCCCGGAUCACCUCAAUUACAUUAUCCGUACCUAAAUGGGUCUAGAUCUCUCUCUUUAACAAAGGCCCUAAGCCCCAUGAUAACAUAUCCUCAGGCCACAGUUCCAAAUUAGGAAAGUGAUUCGGAACAGGGCGUUACAAAACGUCUAGAUCUGAAGUGAUAACUAUCACACCCCCGAACCGGGACGGUGGAAACGUCCAAGGGCGGAUGACUUCAUCUUGUAAUAUCAUAACAAGUGUAUAUAAAUGAAACAUAGACAUCAUCAUCACCAUACAUAAAAUAUAACAACAUUCAUGGUUUACAUCAUUGUAUUUGUACAUACAUUACAUCCCAAAAAUAUCAUGUGUAUGGUGAAAACAAAAAUACAACCAACAUCCAAAUUUCUUAGUUGCCAACCUGUUUAGUGAGUUCCUGAGAAUACAAGUUAUUUUGAAAAGUGUCAACAUAUACAAUGUUGGUGAGUUCAUAAGCAUGUUUAUAUGAAAACUUUGCAUUGGUUUGUAAACUCCAGAAAAUCCGAUAUUUUCUAAAAUAAAUAGUUUGUGAGUUUCAUAUCAAAUCUUGUAUUAUAGCAUGUGUAUCAUUGUUGAUAGGGUACAGAGGGUGUUUCCCUGGAAAAUCCUGUAUUUUCUGAUUUAUAAAAUAAAAUGUGGUCUUAACCCUGAGACCUGAGUGGUGGACUUAGACGUAAAAUAGUGAAUGUGUGGUUCGUACUUUGUAACAUGAGUAGAGUAUGUGUAUUCCGUAAAUUUAUUGUGUUGUUAUUCUCUAUGUGAGUCAUUAUAAUCAUGCUAAUAUGACGGAGUGCCUGUCUUGACGUUCUUCAGGUGUCGGUUACCGAGAAAACAUUUGUCACCCUAAACUGGUCUGUCUAGCUGUAGCGAGCAGCUCAUGUGUGGGGUGGCAACCCCGUAUAGAUCUAUACACAAAUUCCCGCUCUCCCACCAAGAGAUUCUGGUUAUGACUACAAGACUUUCUAUGUACACUAGGUAGGUACGAGUGAAGGAGUGUCUCACAAAAGUCUUAACGAAAUUUUACGCAAAUAAUGUGUUUCAUUAUUUAGUGUUAAAAUAAUGUUACGAGUGUAUAUUUUUUACUAUAACUCAUAAAUAGCAAAAAUAUAAUCAUUUUUAUCGAAAGUGUCAGAAUAGUUGUUAUUUCACCGUUGUUAUCAAAACACUCUAUUGUUGACGAUAUGUUCACGAGAGGCCCAAUUUACAUAAUAUUGACACUAAGGCCCAAUUAACAUAAAAUUGACACUGAGACCCAAUUAACAUAAAAUUGUCUUAUAAGGCCCCAAUCUUAUCCAAAUUGUUAUAAGUUGCCCAUUUUAUCAAGGAUGACCUUAAAUGGCCCAUUAUUACUAAAAUGUACAUAAAUGGCCCAAUAAUGCCAAAGUUGUCGAACUUGGCCCAUUUUUACUAAAUUUCUCAUUUGAGGCCCAUUUUUGCAAAAGUGUUCAAAAAUGGCCCAUGUUUGCUAAAUAAUUCAUUUUCGACCCUUUUUAAAUAAAAGUCCCAAAUAUGACCCAAGUUUAUUAAGAAGCCCAUUUUCGGCUCAUUUUACCUAAAAAUGUCAUAACUGGUCUAUUUUUACCAAAGAUGUCAAUUUUAACCCAUAAAUACCGAAAAUGACAUAAAAGACCCAUUUUUAUAAAAAAUGACUAUUUUGGCCCAAAAUACCGAAAGUGUAAAUAAAAGGCCCAUUUUUCACUUUAUUGACAAAUAUGGUCCCUUUUGAUAUUUUAUUUAGUUUCUUGAUAAGUUUUCAACAUGUUUAACCUAUCCAACAUUUUAUGAAGUUACAUAAGGUAACUUAUUUCCCAAAACUUCAAACUUGGAUGAAAUCUCGAGUUCAUGGGUAUUUAUCAAGAUUUUAUAACAUUUCACACACCAUAACAUGAAAGCAUACACAUGCAAGCAUAGAUACAAAGCUUUUAUACAAAAACAAGCUUGUAUCCCCCCCUCGUAAAGAUGGAAAAUUCAAGAAAACAAAGGGGUAUGAAGCUCACCUUGAGCUUUCUCGAUCGUGAAGAGGAAGAGGAAUGAAGUUUUCAGCCUUAGCUAGCUUCUUGAAGAGGUUUUCGGUGGUUAUAUGGUUUUAAGAAGGAUGAACACGAAAAGGAAAUUGUAUGAGGAAGGAUUCUUAGUGUAACAUGGAACUAAAAUGCUUGAAUGCUAUAUAACUUACCAAAGAUGUAAAGCUUGAAGUGAACUUCUUAUUGCAUACACCCAAAACCCACGGUUUUUAGGAGCAAGAAGUGAAGAGAGCACUUGAAGAUUAGAGAGGAAGGAAUGUGUGUGUGUGUGUGUGUGAAGUUUGAAAUGAAUGUGAGGGUGAAUGAGAGAGGAUCAGCCAAGAUAAGGAGGAAAAGGAAAGAUAUAUUAGGGGUUAAUACUUAAUGGCUAAUACGAUUUGCAUAGAUGUAUGGGAUAUAAAUUGCAUGCUUACAUGCAAGAUAAUGGUGAGGUGUCACAAGAAUAAUUCCUCAUUUUAUCCUUUUUUAUUAAAAGAAUUCGAUCGGGCCUUAUGAGGAGGGGAAAAGAAAUAGUUUUGGGCUUGAAGACAACCAAGAACAUCCAAGGCCCAACGGUAUUUUCGGUUUGCAUGUUUUUGGCUUGGAUCGGGCCCAAAAUGAUUUUGGCCCAUGGGUCCAAAAGAAAUGAAUUUGGCCCAAUAAAGAUUUUUGGUUCAGUGAGAGGGCCCAAAAGAGAUUUUUGAUCCAUUAGGGCCCAUAAUUGGGUUCUCAGCCCAAUAACACUAAAUGGAAGUGUUUUCGGCCCAAAGGGGCCCAAUACUGAAUUUCCGGACUUUCAACGCCCAAUUGGAAGUUCAAUAGUGAUUUGUGGCCCAUUAAGCUUUAAAAUAAUUCCUUACGGCCCAAAAAUAGCCCAACUAUGGUUGUUCGGCCCAAAAGAGCCAAUGUGAGAGGUUACCGACUUAUUAGGCCCAAUAAGAGAGUUUUGGCCCAUAAGGGGGUUUGGACCGAGAGAACGUGGGCUAAGGACCAAAUUUGAGUAAAUAUACUUAUUAGGUUAUAUUUAGAGUUUACGUGAGGGAGUUCUGACUAGAAACAUAAGUUCUUGAAUGUAUAAAUUGAUAUUGUAUUGAAAUUACUUAUACUACACAUAUAGUUACAUGGUUACAUCAAGGAAUUAGUUGUACAUGGAUAGAGAUUUCUUGCCCUAAAAUGCUGUUUGUGACAGUAACUUCAUGAAAUACUCAACCCAAAAAAUGAGCCAAAUAUGACAAUAGACUUCCAAGAAAUAGAUCUAAAUAUAACAAUAGACUUCCAAGAAAUAGAUCUAAGCAAUAUAUAAGCAAGGUGUCGACUUUAUAUCUCAAAAUGACUGCAACAAAAGAGUAGGUUCUGGAUCUAUAGCCUUCCUUUCAAUUAAGUCACCUCAAACUUUAAGCUCCUUCAAAAAAAACACCAAGAAAUCACUCUUCAAGCUCACAUAUACACAAAUAUGGGAGGUGAUGCACGAAACUAGGGUUUCUGGACAGAUGAGACUGGUAAGUAGACCAUCCAAAGGGUAUAAGGCCUUUAAAUAGGGUGCGACACCCUAAAAAUUAGGGUUUCUUACUCAGCCACCAACUCGUCGAGUUUGCCUCCCCAACCCAUCAAGUUAGUCCAAAAAGAUGCAUGGCCCAAGGCCUUCCAACACGUCGAGUUGAGGCUAUCAACUCGACGAGUUCCAAGGGAACCUUGGCUUUUAAAAUACUAAAUUUUAUACCUAGGAAUCGGGAGGUUACACAAUCCUUCUUGCCAAUUACUACCCUCAAAAAGUUCAAAAAAUGUUGGUAAUGAAAAUACAAGCACUUAUACAUCAUUUUCAUAUGAACAAAGAAGCUUACAAUCUCCUUCUUUAGUUCGAAAUGUUAGAACACCAUCAUCUAACAUUUCCAAUAGUAUGAGUAAUUUUCUACUACCUAUUAUCAUUGUCAUUCAUUAAAUGUAUAUAAAUUCUAACAAAAAUUAUACUAUCUAAUUCUUCUAUCAUUUUUUCAUUUUUUUACAGGAAUAUAUAAUUCUUAUAAUAACAUCCAAACACCAAUAUCAAAUAACAGACAUUACUAUUUCUUUUCCAAUGGCAUGCAAUCCAUAAACUCAUAGACUAUAAUUCAACCUUAUUCUUCUAUGAAUUUAACAAGACCAACCCAAGGAUUAAAAAGGAAGCCUACCAACAUAUCUGCAAUUCCUAUGUUUGACUUGACAAUAGAUGAAGAAGUUAAUGAUCAAUAUACCCAUGUAAACAUAGCUAAAAGGUGUCUCAAAAUGUAACCAUCACAAAAAAAUAUAUUUGAAUUAAUUAUUAUCUUAAAUUUAUGAAAUUCUUACAACUAUAUAGAUUGUUAUAUUUGACAUUAAUUUUUUUUAACAGAUUACAUUGAUCAUAGUGAUUAGAAUGUUGUAUGUCAAAUAUAUAAUGCAAAGUUAUGGAUGGAUUAAUCGAUUAGAGGAAAAGAUAAAUAGAAUACAAGUUUUCACUAUGUUGUGGUUAUGGCAAGGUUGAGUUGCCAGAUUCUAAAGAAGCAUCGCCAACUUACCUAAAUCCUUACCGUUCAACAGUUUUUAAAUCCAAAUACUUCAUGAACAAUAUUCAUCGUUACAAUUCAAUGUUUUCAUUUACCUCAUUGGGUGGGAAAAUUGAUGCAUCCAUUAAAAGUGGUAAAGGUCCAUACAUAUUCAGACUUGACGGUCAAAAUUAUCAUAGAAUUGGAAGUCUAUUACCCUCAAAUAGAUCUAAACCAAAAUUCUCUCAGUUAUACAUAUAUGACACCGAUAAUGAGAAGUUAAAUAGGCAAACAAUUUUUGAUUGGGUUGUUUUUGCGAGAACCGAUUUUCUCACACGGUCAGUUAUAUGUUGCUUUAUCCAGAGUAAAGAGAAGAGAAUGAUUGAAGUUAUUGAUUUUAGAUAAGAAUUGUAAUUUGACUAAUAAAACUUCUAAUGUUGUGUUCAAUGAAGUAUUUAAAAAUCUAUUUAAAGUGUUAUGCUUAUUUUACUUAUCAAAUAAAGUUGUAGUUAAUUACCAUCCAGAAUCAUAUGCCUUUUUUUUAAGUUAUUACUUUUAUUUUUGUCUAUAUAAAAUUUUUAACCGUACCUCUCGUGGUUUCCACGGAUUAUAACUUAGUAUAUUUAUAAAGAAAAAAUCUUCAAUAAAGUCCUAAUAUUUUAGACCAAUUUAUGGUUUAAUCCCAAAUUAAAUUUUGUUUACAAAAAGGACAAAAAACCGGAUAAAACUUCAAAAUAACCCUCUGUGGUUGGUUUUGCAGAUUUAGCCGGUAUUCUAGUUUUUUUCGUUAAUUCGUUAAAAUAUUGGGACUUUUUCGUUAAUUCGGCUAAAAUUUCGGAAUAACCCUUUUAUCAAUAUAUUAAAAAUGGUUUGUUUUUUCAAUGAAUGUAUUUAUUAAUUUUAUUAUACAACGUUAUAUAUCUAGUUUUGAAGUCACGAAAUUUAGAAAAAAAAGUAUCUAUACAAUCCAAAAAACUAACAAACUUCAUAAAUUUGUCUGAAAAGGUUUAUGGAAGAUAGAGUGUUCGAUAAUUGCAAGAUGAAAUUCAUAUGAAAUUAUUGGAUAUUUUCUUUUGAUUUCAACAUUGGUCUAAGUACUAGAAUUACCACAAAACAUACAUAAAAAUAUUAAUUAGGCAUACUCAUUUUCUUCUUCAUUCUAUUGGUUGUUUAAAACCUUAAUUCAUAUGCCCUCUUUCUUCCUUUGUUUCUUUCUAUCUAUUGCAGAAUUGGGAAUGAUGUGAUAAGGGAUACAUACACACAUCCCUUAGAUAGACCUCUGUCUUUCCUUUUUAUGUGCGCACACACGCAUAAAAGUUUCUGAUCUAGAACAUGUGUAUGCAUGUGUCAAAGGAGGGAAUCAAAGUCCAAGCGAGUAUGUGUUUUGUGGUCUAACCAAGGCAAGACUAGUUGCUACUAAGAUAUUGCUAUUGUCCUUGGCAAAUUGAGGUACAAGUUUAACAUGAGUAUGUUGAAGUGCAUGAUUCAACAAGAAAUUAAUAUAAACGAGAAAGGUUAUUCAUAGAUUUAAGUAUACCCGGUUAGUAUUAUUACAUAUGUUUUCUGGUUAUUCCAAUACUUAGACUAAUCUUGAAAUUAAAAAAAGAUACAAUAAUUUUGUAUGGAUUUCAUUUUGCAAUCAUGGAGCACUCUAUCGUCCAGUUAUGUUUUUCGGGCAAAUUUAUGAAGGUUGUUAGUUUUUUGCAUUGUAUAGAUACUUUUUCAAAAUUUCGUGUCUUUUAAAACUGAAUAUAUAACGUUAUAUAAAAAGAGAUGAAAAAAAAUACAUUCAUUGAAAAACAAACCAUUUUUAAUAUAUUGAUAAAAGGGUUAUUCCAAAGUUUUAGCUGAAUUAACAAAAAAAUCUCAAUAUUUUGACGAAUUAACGAAAAAACCGGAAUAUUGGCUAAAUCUAUGAAACCGACCACGAAUGGUUAAUCCGAAGUUUUAGCCAAUAUUCUGUCAUUUUUUGUAAAUAAAAUAAUUUGGAAUUAAACCGUAAAUUGGCCUAAAAUGUUUGGACUUUAUUGGAAAUUUCCCCUUUAUAAAUAUAAAUAUUUUAACUAUAUACAUAUAUUCUAUUCUAUAUGGUAUAUACUGUGCAAAGGUAUUGACCUAGUUUAAGAUAAUAACAAAUGAAAUUGACAGGAAACCUCUACGGCUCUACCAUUGAUCAUAAACAAACAACGUGUGGUAGCUCUACUUCUAUGACCCUUGAAUCGUACUCUAUAUCUUCGUUAAUAUCUAUAAGUACACAUAGAACCCUUCAACUACUCCAUUGUCAUCCCAUUUUUCUUCUUCAGUCACAAAAUUUACUCAUAAAUAUAUUUCAAACAGUAUUCGCUAAUUCAGAUCUAUCAAGACUUCGAUCGAUUCCGAGCAACAGCAACAUUAAUUCCAACCAGAAAUACCGAAAGCCAAGAAAUGUCAUUGUGCAUGUCGACAUUAAAUGCUGCUCCAUUAAUAUCUACAAGCCCAAGUCUCACUACAUCAUCUUCUAUAGUUAAUUCAACUUCUCAUGCAGCAAUCUCAAAAACAAAGUAUCUUGCCUCAUGCAGCGUUCAUGGCUUAAAUAGCAGAAACUUUCAGUAUCACCCCAGGUUGAUGAUUGCACGACGAAAGUUUGUUGUAUACAGCAAUAUUACUCCACUUCCCGGAGUUCCUCUUCCUUCAGGAUCACCUUCGGGUUCUAUGUAAUCUUUUACCAAUUUUUCCAGUAAUUUUCGAGUAUGUCUUGAAUUUAAAUAAUGUAUUCACUUGUGAUCUCGACAAAAUUUUGAAGCAACCAAAAGAGAAACAGAAUAUACCUUUUAUGUUCAUCUGUAUAUAUAUUUGUAGUUAACGUGUAAUUUCUGUGUAAUUUUCAGGGAAAGUUGGGUUAUGUGUAUCGUGUUGACAUUCGUCUUACCUUUUAUCACGCAUAAAUGGGGGCCAUUGAUUGCACUAAAAAGUAAGAAGAGAUUGCCGAUGAUUAUUAAUGUGAAAACGAGGCUUUCAUAUUUUAUUUUGCUUCUAAUUAUUUUAUGCGCUCUAAUUGACGUUAUUGUGUAUAGAUAUAUAACAAAGACGCUAAAUGAUAUAUAACUAUCUUUUUAAUGCAACGAAACAGAUAGAGUGGACACAGCGGUAGACAUGGCGGAGCAUAUAGCGGAAGUUAUGGAAGAUGUGGCUGGAAAAGUUGAUAAGGUGAUCGAUAGCAUUACUGAUGAUCUUCCUGAAGAUAGUAAACUCAGAAAAAGGUUGGAAGCCAUUGAUGAGCUGAUCGAAGGAGUAGCAAUGAGUGCUCAUAUCGCCAAUGAUAUCAUCGACAAGGUUUGAAUAUACUGAUCUUUUUCAAGCACGUACACAUAUGACUUGAAGGGGCCAAAGUUGGGUAACUAUUAAUAUACGUAGAGUUUAUAUAUUGAAAUUAAAAAGAUUAAAUAUUGAAAAUGUCAAUAUAUGGCGCAGGUGGAAGAAGCUGAAGAUAAACUAGAGUCCUUGAUUCUUUCCCAUGCAAACGAGGAAAAGGUUUCCAUGCAAGUUGUGGAAAAGGAUGAAGUUUCUUCCCAUAAAGAUUGAAUAGUUAUUGAUAUUCGAGAAAAAGAUAACGAUGGUCAACGUAUUAAAGUUUGACCUAUGAUUAGGAGAAGCUUUAAGAUCAAUUUGUUCAUUUAUUUGUAAUAUAUAUUCUUACUGUUAGCAUACUAUUUGCUUUGAACUAGUCCAUUCUAAUAUUUCAUCAAAUACGGAUUGUAUAUAUCCUUUUGAAAUAGUAUAGUCACGAUGACACCUAAAAUAUAUAUGAAAUCGAAACUUACAUAACCACGUACAAAACAUGUGUCUCGACUUAUUUACACUAAAUUUUAUGAAAAUGUUAUGAGUAAAGCAACAAUACAAUUUAUAGAACACAUGAAACAUUUUACUCUUAUUAGUUGCGUUUUUAUGUAUUGCUGUUGUUGUAAUCUGUUUCCCAAUUAACUUGAUGUUUAAGUUUAUUUUGCUUUGUUGUAGAGGCUUAUUUACUCCGUUUGUAUCUUUUAUGUUAAUAUAUUCAACCGCUUAAGCAAAUGUUUUGAGCUUUGGUAUAGUGCAUUAUUCAUCUUAAUUACCAAGUGGAUUUGGGUGCUGCUUAUGUACAUGGGAAAGUUAUUGGAUUUAAAGAAAAAAUACACACAUAAAUGCCAUAUGCCAUGUCAUCCACUAUUUCUCUCAUGUUAUUAAUCUUGGGCCAACUCAACAAUUUUUUAAUCAUAACCAACAAUUAACCCACAAGAACCGGCUACCACUAGGUGGGAUGUGAAGAAAAUAUAUAUUUUAUUGAUGUUUUUUAUACAAAGAUUUCAGUUGAAUGAUAUUUUUCUUGAACAUGUAAAACUUCGAUGUUUUUUUGAACGAUUUUAAAACAUUCUUACCCCGAUAAGUCAUUUUCUCAAAGAACACUAAGGGGUCGUUUGUUUUUCUAUAAAAGUACUUUUUGAGCACUUUUCUUUUUAGCGGGUAGACGUUUCGCAAGUGCACGUCUUCUUCCACAAACUUGAAAAAAGACAAAAGACAUUUAACCACUUCCAAAACAAACAACACCUAACUAUUUUUAGCAAUUAAAAAGCAAUUCUCUCAAAGAGAACAAUUUUGUUAUUUUAACAACCAAAAUAUCAUACAAAGAUAGUAUAUUACAUUUAAUUUUAUUCAUGAAUAACCCACAACAAAAAUUAUUGAGACAAUUAGGAUUAUACAAUUUUAAAACAUUAUCAUAUAAUUCAAAACAAACAAUGUUUAUAUCAACAUAUUAUAAGAUUUAUUAUAUAAGAACUAACAGCAAUGUCAUUGAUUUAAAAACAUAUAUUUGUAAAGAUUUUAAAAUAUAUUGUUGUAUUUUACACAACACGGGGGUAUUCGCCUAAUGUUGACAUAAAGCUAGCUAUUUCAAGUCCUAUUUAAGUAUUAAAAUGGGGUGAAUCUUUCGGUUCAUAAAAAAAUUAAGUAUUAAAAAAGUUAAAUAUUUUAAAUGAUAGUAAUGUAAAGAAUGAAAAAGAGAAGAAAAUAAAAAGUUACUUCAUAGUUUUGGUAUGUAGACGCGGCAACCAACAAGUGUACUCUAAUAAAUGAAUGUUUUUUUGCUACGUGUUCUCUACUCAUUUAUUUGGACACAUGACAUUUUGUAGAAUUUUUAAAUUUUUUAUUUUCCACGUGUCAUUUUAUUGUAUUUUUCAUUUUAUUAAAUUAAAAUUCUACAUUUAAUAUGUAAGGUAUUUAUUAAAAAUGAUGUAUAUAUAUAAUGUAUUCAAUACAUUAAAGACUCAUUAAUUUUAAUAAUUCAAAAAUUUUCUCAUUUUUCUUACAAAUUCAAGAUUUUCAAAUUGUGUUCAUAUUUUUUUUAAAUAAACCCAUGUAAUACAUGGGUUUCAAUAAAAAAUGGUAGAUCUUUUUGUAUGUCUUCGAUUAAAUGAGAGGCAUAAUUGGUAAUGUAUAUAAAUUUCAGUGGAAAAAUCAGCUUCCCAAUCAUGGGAGUUCUUGAGACAAACAUGUCAUCACUAAGUUAAUGUUUUGUAUGUAGAAUAUCAAGGAGUAAAUGAAAUUAAGGAUUAUAUGACAUAUUGUAAUUAUAAAAAUGAUUAUAAUUGAGAUAACCACAUCAAAAAACUUCUCAGGAUAUAACUAACCCAUUGCUCAUAUCAUUAAAAAUUUCUUAAUAACACAACGCGUUAUUACCAUAACUUAUGAACUACAAAAAAAGUCUACAACAACAUAAAUGUUUUAAAUAGAAACUAACUCAUUGGCUCUUGUUAUUAUCAUAACUUAUGAACUACAAAAAAAAGUCUACAACAACAUAAAUGUUUUAAAUAGAAACUAACUCAUUGGCUCUUGUUAUUAUCAUAACUUAUGAACUACAAAAAAAAGUCUACAACAACAUAAAUGUUUUAAAAGAAACUAACUAAUUAGCUCUUAACAUUGCUUCAUUCUCCUCUUUCUUAGGCGCUCUGCGAUUAUAAAGGAUAGCUCUAGUGAUUGAGAGGCAUUAAGCCUCGGGUCACAGUGUGUGUGGUAUCGCGAUCCAAGGUCAUCAAAGGUGACUGUUGCGGAUCCAGAUCCACCAAUGCACUCCGUCACAUUUUGUCCUGUCAUUUCAAGAUGAACUCCUCCCGGGUGGCUUCCUUCUUGCUCAUGCACAUCAAAAAAUGCUUUCACUUCCGCCUAGUACAAACAACAUUCCAUGUAUGAUUUAUUAUUAUACGACUUAGCCUAUGUUUGAAAAAAUAGUCGAAAAACUAUCUGCUAGCUGAAAAACUAGCUGCAAUCCAAUAAACUAGGAUGUUUGGUAAAACUAGCUGAUAAGUCAGGUGAAAUAGGUAAAAUGAUUUAUUUUUUUUAAUAAUUAAUAAAGGGUAUAUUUGGGAGAAUAUUAGAAAAGCUCAACAAGGUCGGCCCGAAAAUAAUAAUACAUUUUGAUUAUGAUGAAAAUAAUAAUACAUUUAUAUUAUUAUCAUUUUCAUCAUAAUAGAAUGUAUUUACAUUUCUUUACUCAAAAUAGCAACGUACUUAUGUUUUUUAUAUUUUAUAUUUUUUAUAAUAGCAAUAUAUAAACCCAUAAUAGCAAUGUACGUAUAAUUACUUACCAAUGAUAGCAACAUACUUAAAUUUCUUUACCGAUAAUAAUAGUUAUGUAGAAUCAAAAAUUUUAAGCAUUUUACAAGUUUUAUAUAUGAAUUUAUGUACGUUGCUAUUACAAACAAAAGUAAUUAAGCACGUUGCUAAUAAGCAAAAAAAAAGUACAUUGCCUAUAUUGGUAGCUAAUUAAGCAUUUUACAAUGUUGCUAUAUCCCACGAUUUUUAUCUUUUUUAAACAUCAUUUAUCCAGGGGCCAAAUUAUAACAAAGAAUGUAAAUGCACAAGUAGUGGGAAGAGUGAGUUACCCUAAUAGCAUCAAAGGGUCGAGUCUUGAGACCACACGGAGCCUUGAUGGUGUUGCCAUGCAUAGGAUCCGAGACCCACGUCACGAUUUGACCCGCUCUUCUAACGGCUCUAAUAAGAUGGGGAAGUUUCACUCUCAUGUUCUCCGCUCCCAUUCUUGUUAUUAUUGUAAUUCUUCCUGCUUUGUUCUCGGGAUUCAAAAUAUCGAUGAGCUUCACCAACUCACUUGGAUCCAUCUUGUCACUCACCUUUUCAAAAACAUAUGUUAGCUCUCUAUAAUCACAAUGUGUUUGAUACUGAAUGGAUGUUUCCAUUCCGUAUCAGACACAUGUACCUUGUGUCUGAUACAACUGUGUUACCAGUUGUAUCAGACACAUAUACAUCGUGCCUGAUACAAUUGUAUCAGGCAAAAUGUAUGUGAAGGUCAAUACCUUAAUUCCAAGGGGAUUUGCAAUUCCUCUUAGAAACUCGACAUGGGCACCGUCCAACUGACGAGUUCGUUCCCCAGCCCAGAGGAAAUGAGCAGAGCAAUCAUAGUACAAGCCAGAAGUUGAAUCCAAACGAGUAAGAGAUUGCUCAUAUGGCAAGUGCAAGCACUCAUGUGAUGUCCAGAAAUCGGUGGUGGUCAUGAUUGGAUGGUCAACGGUCAAACCGGCUGCAGACAUGAACCCGAGUGCCUCAUCAACUCUGCUAGCCAGCUCUCGGUAUCUACCAUGCAACAAUUCAAAAAACCAUAUCAUAAUUAUAUAUUUUUAAAAAGGUAUUUGAGAAAAUGAUUGCACACUUGGGAAAAUCAAAAGAAGAAAGAUAUAAGGGGACAAAGUUGUAAAAGGUUUAAGGGCAAUUUUCAUGCAAAUAACUAAACACAACGCGCAUGGACAUAUACGAUAUGAAACCAUAUCCUAAUCAUAAAGGGGCAAAUAAGUAAAUUCAACAUACCUGUCACCCUGUUCGCUAUGUUCCGAAAAAUCAAGAUUCCAUUGAUUAACCCUUUGCAUAGCUGCAUAACCUCCUGUAGCAAAAGCCCUCAAAAGAUUAAGAGUAGCUGCAGAUUGGGUGUAUGCUCUAAUCAAUCUUUGAGGAUCGGGUGUUCGGGACUUCAAAUCAAAUGCAUCACCAUUAACAUUAUCCCCUCGAUAACUUGGUAAUUUCACACCAUCUUUCUCCUCAAAAGGAUCCGAUCUAGGCUUUGCAAAUUGUCCAGCCAUUCUUCCUACCUGGUUUACUCAAAUUCCCACAAUCCAAAAUCAAUUUCAGUGAAAUUCAUAAUCGCAUGUGUUCAUACUUAUGUUAUUAUUAAAUCAAGCAAAAGGCUUUACUACACUCCACAAAGAUCAUAGCUUUAAAAAUUUUAAAAUUCAGAUAUGUUGGCAAGUUUUCAUGAUUCGGAUUUCAUGUGAUAGCCAAAAGUAUUUAAAAGUGUCGAUGAGUAAGCUUAAAAUCAGACACGAAAAAGAGGUAAAAUGAAUGAUGGAAUUUAGAAAUAAAAAAAUGUGACCUUGAUAACGGGCAUUUGACCACCGAACAUCAAAACGGCACCCAUUUGAAGAAUGACUCUGAACGUAUCACGAAUGUUGUUCGCAUUAAACUCCUUGAAACUCUCAGCACAAUCGCCACCUUGUAAAAGAAACGCAUUUCCCAUAGCAGCCUCACCCAGCCGCUCCUCAAGGUUACGUGCCUCCCCGGCAAACACGAUCGGCGGGAAGGAAUCCAGGGUUUGGAGCACCGAUUCGAGCUCGAUUUGAUCCGGGUAUUCCGGAAGUUGUAGGGCCUUUUUGGUUCUCCAGCUUUCGAUGGUCCAUUGUUUGGGUUUUUUUGUAUCUGGGACGGUUGUUGGGGUGGUGGUGGUGGUGGCGGUAGCGGCGGUGGCUGGGGAAGCAGGUUUUGAUGAUGAUUUGUCAAUGGGGGUCUUCGAUGGGUCGGGAGAAUGGACGGCGAAGAUUGGUUGGAUGGAUCUGGUGGUGGCGGUGGGUGCGGCGGAGGUGGUGGUGGUGGUGGAGACAGAUUUCAGUUGUGGUGGGAGAGAAUGGAUUUGGAAAGAUUUUGUGAGGAGGUUAGAGUUACUAGCAAGAGCCAUUUUGAUGAAAAUGUAUGCGUUCUUGGUUUGUGUUUGUAGGUGGGAGUGGAGGGACGGAAUGGGGGCAAUUAAUAGGGAGGAAGGAAUCGGCGGCAGGUUUGGUGGAAGCUCUCGACGAGGGGGGUUAGGUAGGUAAGGGUAUUCCGGUAAAAUUGUAAAUUUUAAAUCAUAUUGUUUUCGUGAAAGAACCAAAAAACGAGAUUAUUUAUUUAUUUAUUUUUUGUUUUUUUGUUUUUUUUUUGUUUUUUGUUUUUUUUUGUUUUUUGCAAAAGUAUGGAUAUUGGAAAAACGGUCGGUAGAAAUCUAUAACUAGAAAUUGGUGAUGUAUAUGUUUAUCUGUCCAUGUUCAUCACUGGUUUGGAGCAUGUUUAAAUCACUAAAUUGUAAACUGGUUUUGUGUGUGUUUAAAUCACUAAAUUGUAAAUUAUUAGCUGAUGUGUUUUUUAUUUUACUUGUAGGUGAGUUAUGGAAGAUAUAUGAACUCAAAUCUAACCGUGAGCCCGAAAAUGACCACACUUCCCUGCAAGUGGUUGUUCGUGGUCGUGCAUAACAUAAUCACUAGGCUUGACAAUUGCGUUGAGUUCGGGUUGAUGGGUCACGAGUUGGUGGGUUAGCGGGUCAGAAAACAUAAACUCAACCCAACUCAUAUACUUAAACGGGUUAACAAGUUAAUGGGUCAAACUCAACCCAUAUAACCCGUUUAAUAAAUAAGCAAUGUAUUUUAAAAAAUUGAGGGUUUUUCAACAUAAAUUUUUAAAAUGAUUAAAGUAAUUAACAUAAAACAAAGGUUUUCAACAACAAUUCAUAAAGUCAAUAACAUCAAACUAAAAAUGAAAAAUGAAAACAUUCAUAGAAAAUGGAUGUGUUCUUCAUUCGUGACUUGUGAGUAUCUAAAAAUAACGACAUGUAUUUUUUCUUUUUUUGAUUAACGAACCGCAAACGCAGAUUAGUCACAUACUAAUACGGAAGGAAUACUUGUGGAAAUCAAAUUUCAUUAAUAAUUNUAUAUAUAUAUAUAUAUGGGUUGGCGGGUUGACCCGCGAACCCAAACAGAUAACCCAACCCAUGAAAUAAACAGGUUGGUGGGUUGGCGGGUCAAAAAUGUCAACCCAAACCCGUCUAUUUUCGGGUUGGGUCAGUGUCGGGUUACGAAUUAGAUCGAAAGUUGUCACCCCUAAUAAUCACGCAUUUCAUAUAAUAAGGAAGUCUGUGAGACCUUAGCUAAUCAACACAACAAGCUAGAUGGAAUUAAUACCGCCUCGAAACACUACACAUGAAUUAACUAUAAUUUAGCAAUUAAGGUAUACUUCUUAACUUUCAUCUCUAAACGAGUCUUUCUUUUCCUAAUCCUUAACUAGGGCAAAAUACCAUUUUUCCUUUACCCAAUGGUCUAAAAUACACUUUCAGUAAACUUUGAUCAAAAGUCAACCGAUCAAAAAGUCAACGGUCAACCCGUCGUAACAAACGUUGACCGUGCCAUGGUUAAGACCAGACCUGACCCUCUUGACCACCAUGUCUUACGUAGUAGCAUACAUAUUUAGUGGCAUAUUUUGUUUAUGCCACUAUAUCAUGUUUUAGUGGCAUAUCUUAUGUACCGCUAUAAAAAUUAACACCUUUAGUGGGCAUUUAACAAUUUGUGUCACUAAUAUUCAUAUUUAUUAGUGGCACAAUAAUAUAAAAAUGUCAUUUAAAAGUAUUUAUUUUGUGUUAUACAAUUUAUUAAAUACCACCAAAAAAGUUUUAUUAUAAAUUUUUUUCUGCCAGUAAAAGAAAUAUCGACCCGAUUUCACAAUUUGUAUUGAUGGAAGAUUAGAGAUUAUGGUUUUGUUUUGUGCCACUAAAAGACCCAAAAUUCAAUGAAGAUGAAAAGAGUUUAUUCCACAAAAGCCAUUAUAUAUACAAACUUGUUAUGUUUUAACCCCAAUAUAACGUCUUGAUUUUCACAGACAAAUUUUUAAUUUUAUUUAUCCAAAUUAUAAGUCUUACACACUUUAUAUUACAUAUUUAAUUAUAAAAGUGAGUCUUAGCGGAAGUAUUAAAUAUUAUUUAUUGUUCUCGAUGCAAGUAGAAUCAUGCGAGAGCCUUUCCUCGAUCCGAAGAACAACAUGUAAAACAGUUAUUCAACAAUUGUAAGUCUAGGCUUAGUAAACUCCCUCAAAAUACCACAUACCACAACAUACAUACAAUGCAUACACAUAUUGGCCUUCAGCUUAUAGCUGGUCUACACCUUGGCCUUCAGCAUAUAGUUGGUCCUCCCUAUAUAGCCUUCAACACGUAGCUAGUCCGCUUCCCCUUAGCCUUUAAUAUAAAGAUAGUCUGCCCAAGGCUAUUGGCCUUCAACACGAAUUUGGUCCGCCAUCAACUUUGUAUAUACAUAUCAACAUAUAACAACAGUCCAUAUAACAGACAACUAACUAUCCUAGUCUAAUUGCCUAAGUGCAUACUACAGGGUAGCUAUAUCUUAACAUACAUAGGAUACAUAUUGGAGUAUAUAAUAUAGUGAGAAAAACUCACUUGACGGUUUCUCAGAUGGUUAGCAGCUAACCGAGUGAGGUCCCGUUUGAUAGUUUCUGUCUGGGAAAGUGUUGUCUGGUAANNNNNNNNNNNNNNNNNNNNNNNNNNNNNNNNNNNNNNNNNNNNNNNNNNNNNNNNNNNNNNNNNNNNNNNNNNNNNNNNNNNNNNNNNNNNNNNNNNNNNNNNNNNNNNNNNNNNNNNNNNNNNNNNNNNNNNNNNNNNNNNNNNNNNNNNNNNNNNNNNNNNNNNNNNNNNNNNNNNNNNNNNNNNNNNNNNNNNNNNNNNNNNNNNNNNNNNNNNNNNNNNNNNNNNNNNNNNNNNNNNNNNNNNNNNNNNNNNNNNNNNNNNNNNNNNNNNNNNNNNNNNNNNNNNNNNNNNNNNNNNNNNNNNNNNNNNNNNNNNNNNNNNNNNNNNNNNNNNNNNNNNNNNNNNNNNNNNNNNNNNNNNNNNNNNNNNNNNNNNNNNNNNNNNNNNNNNNNNNNNNNNNNNNNNNNNNNNNNNNNNNNNNNNNNNNNNNNNNNNNNNNNNNNNNNNNNNNNNNNNNNNNNNNNNNNNNNNNNNNNNNNNNNNNNNNNNNNNNNNNNNNNNNNNNNNNNNNNNNNNNNNNNNNNNNNNNNNNNNNNNNNNNNNNNNNNNNNNNNNNNNNNNNNNNNNNNNNNNNNNNNNNNNNNNNNNNNNNNNNNNNNNNNNNNNNNNNNNNNNNNNNNNNNNNNNNNNNNNNNNNNNNNNNNNNNNNNNNNNNNNNNNNNNNNNNNNNNNNNNNNNNNNNNNNNNNNNNNNNNNNNNNNNNNNNNNNNNNNNNNNNNNNNNNNNNNNNNNNNNNNNNNNNNNNNNNNNNNNNNNNNNNNNNNNNNNNNNNNNNNNNNNNNNNNNNNNNNNNNNNNNNNNNNNNNNNNNNNNNNNNNNNNNNNNNNNNNNNNNNNNNNNNNNNNNNNNNNNNNNNNNNNNNNNNNNNNNNNNNNNNNNNNNNNNNNNNNNNNNNNNNNNNNNNNNNNNNNNNNNNNNNNNNNNNNNNNNNNNNNNNNNNNNNNNNNNNNNNNNNNNNNNNNNNNNNNNNNNNNNNNNNNNNNNNNNNNNNNNNNCAUAUAUAUAAUGUUAGACUUUUAAUGUUAUAUAUACUAUAGGGUAUAUUUUACAUUUUUAAAAUACUAGGAGGUCAUAUUUAACAAUUAUACUUUUAAUUAAAUUAAAUUGUAAACCUAAACUUUUAUGGAUUUAUUAAACCUCUUUUAAUUAUACAUCUUAAUUAAUUAAUAAAACCAUAAGGGUGUGAUUUGAACUUUUCAAAACAAUACUAGGGUUUUAGAAUUUAACAUUNAAUUAAACUUUUAAUCAACUUUUAAAUUCCAAAACUUGAGGGCAAGUUUUGAAACAUUUCAAAAACUUAGGGUUUAGAAUUUAAAUAUACAUCAAAAUUAAACUUUUAAUCAAAAUUUAAAUUCCAAAACUUGAGGGCAAGUUUUGAAACCUUUUCAAAACAUUAGGGUUUCAACUAUUUAAAUUUCAAAAUUAAACUUUUGAGUUCUAAUUUAAACUAUAAAACCUAAAGGGAUUAAUUUGAAACUUUUCCAAACUUUGUCAAGAAUAUUCUAGAUCACAUAAUUCAAAUAAGGCAAUUAACUAUAAUUGGUGGUUUUCUAAUUAGAUAUAGUUCAGAUUCUUGCAAGAUAAUGAUCAAAUAAUUUCCAUAACUUAACAUAUAUCAAAUAAGGUAACAAUUAUCUAAUUAGAUGACCAAAAUCUUUUAUUUUGACAAGGAUAAUCAUAAGGGAUUAACAAAAUUCGAAUUUUAUUAAGUUUAAACAAUUAUGACAAUUAUCCUAAGUCAAAAUAGGUAAAAAUCCCGAAAAUCCACCUGUCUAACAGCUAAACUCGCCGAGUAGGGGCUUACUCGCCGAGUCCACAAUGGGACUCGCCAAGUACAUCAGGCAGGAGGUAAAAAAACGAUUUUUUCAAGCAUGAACAAAUUAACAAGACAUCAAUACAAUAGAAACCAAUCAUGGAUCUGAUACCACUGAUGGGUUUUGGUCCUAAGAACAUCCUAUGUGCUCAUACAAACCCUAAUGCUUGGAUCUAGGUUUCUCUAUUGUACAUGCAAGUUAUCCAAGACUAUAAACCCUAACUCUAGCAUUCAAAUAAUCAUAUUAACAUGAGAAUGGGUUUAAGAUAUUACCUUGAUUGUUAUGUAGCAAUAACAAUCCCAAUUCCUCCUUGUAUUCACUUUAGAAAGCUUAGAGGAAAUUAGGGUUAUCUAACAAGGAAACCCUAAUUUGGAUGCUUAAGCCCUAAGCAACCCAUGGAUUCCUUUAAUUAAGGCCUUGGAUGAUUUCUUCUUGGGUUUCCCCAUAGAAUUUUUCCACUCCUCAAUAUAUGGCAAUCCAUAGCCCAAUUUGCAAUUANNNNNNNNNNNNNNNNNNNNNNNNNNNNNNNNNNNNNNNNNNNNNNNNNNNNNNNNNNNNNNNNNNNNNNNNNNNNNNNNNNNNNNNNNNNNNNNNNNNNGACUUUCAUCCCAAAACGUGAGUACUUCUAUCUAGUUGUAUUAUAAAGCUUAUUAUGUGUCUAAUACACUAGAAAUCAUAGGAAACCAUCAAGAUCUGAGAGUUUAUGGCCCAAGAACAUCUUGGACCGUAAACCCUUCUUUAAGGGGCAAAGAGUGCCCUAGUCCUUUCCUUGAGCAAUGAAACUAACUUAGACUCACAUCUUAAUGUGUUUAGAACUAGAAAACACCCUUAGAACACCAAGAGUAAGGUGUUCACGGCCCAAGAAGUUCUUGGACCGUGAACUCCAAACAAUAGGGCCAAAAGGUGCUUUAAACUCUCCUUAAGCCUUAAACACUAGCCUAGAUUCAUUCCUAGUUAAGUUAGGGGCUUGAAAUCACCAAAAACACCCUUCCAUGGGAGAUUAUAGCCGUAAUCUCCAAGGGGUUUGGUCCCAGGGCCGUAAACUCCUCAAAGGAGUUAAAGGAUGCCCUAAACUCUUCCAAAGACCUUGUCAUUAAGUAGAAAUGCUUCUUAGGGUCUUAUACAACCUCAAACAUCAAAUGGUAAUGUAAGUAUGAGAUUACGGCCAUAAACUAAUGAGAUUAUGAUCGUAAACUCAUUUGUUGGUGACAUUAGGGCCGUGAACUCCAUUAGGGAGUUUUUCCUUGAACCCUACACACACUAGCUUGUCCCUACCACACCUAGAUGCAAUCCUAGAGGCUAAUAACACUUGUUAAAGGCGUUUAACAUGUCCUAGGGUGUCUUGACUUUGUUUAUUAGUUGCUUAAAGACUAAUUUGAUACAUAUAUGUGAUAUUAUAUGUUAACUAGGAUCAUAGAGUGUGUUCAAGACUUCACUUGACACCUAGCAAUCCUACAUCUUCAGUUCAUCCGUACCACUCACAUCAGGUGAGUUCAUACCCCUUAAUCAAUGUUUUAAAUGUUUUUAAAUGUUUUAUGGGGGAUACAAGUAGAAUCAUGCUAGUUAUUAUUGUUGGAUUAGUGUCUAAGUCCAUAACUAUUUUGGUAUGUACUUGACCCGAUGGUACAUGGUCCUUUUGGGUUGCCUUCACCAAAGCAACUUGAUAGGAUGAAUUAUGGAGAGAAAGGAUUAAAUAUGAUUUAUUAAUAUAUUAUGGGAAUAAUAUAUUAAAGGAGAAAUCAUAUUGUUUAAUUAAUAUUAGUCAAUAAUUAAUUGGUAAUUAGUUUUGUGACUAAAAGAGAUUAAUUAAACUUAAGGGACUGGAAUUGUAAUUAUAAGAUAAUUGCAAAUUGGGCUAUGGAUUGCCUUAUAUUAAGGAGUGGACGAAUUCUAUGGGGAAACCCAUUAGAAAUCGUCCAAGGCCUUUAAGGAAAGGAGUCCAUGGGUUGCUUAGGGCUUAAGCAUCCAAAUUAGGGUUUCCUUGUUAGAUAACCCUAAUAGCCUCACUAUUUAAAGAACCCUUAUGCUCCAAAAACGUGGUGAACUAAUUGUCUAGGGUUUCCACACGUUUUUGAGAGCCUCCUUCUCUUCUCUUCUUCAUCCUCUUGCUCUUGGUGUUUGUGAACCAUUAGAGGAGUGACAUUUGUGACUCUAAGCUUUCUAAAGUCAAUACAAGGAGGAUUUGGGAUUGUUAUUGCUACAUAACAAUCAAGGUAAUAACUUAAACCCAUUCUUAUGUUAAUAUGAUUACUUGUAUGCUAGAAUUAGGGUUUAUAGUCUUGGAUAACUUGCAUGUACAAUAGAGAAACCUAGAUCCAAGCAUUAGGGUUUGUAUGAGCACAUAGGAUGUUCUUAGGACCAAAACCCAUCAGUGGUAUCAGAGCCUAGACUGGUUUCUAUUGUAUUGAUGCAUUAUAUGAUUGAAAAAUUCGUUUUUUGUGGUUCUGGAGGCUGGACUCGCCGAGUCCAUGCUGACUCGACGAGUCCAUGCCUGACUCGACGAGUCGGCUGGUCAGAAGGAGGGAAAACCGGGAUUUCUUGUUGUUUUUGCUUAAGGAUAGUUGCCUUAUCAUAUUAGAUCAAUAUAAAUCCGAUUUUAUGAUAUAUUUGACUAUAUUCUUGAUCUAAUUGAAGAUAUUUAUCAAUUAAUAAAAUAUUUGUUUCCUUAUGUGAUAAUUGAUUAAUUAUUUUGAUUAAAUUGGUAAAUUGUUUUGCAAGAAAUCAUUAAAUAAAUCAAAUAUGGAUAAUUAUGUGAUUAAAUGUUAAUUUAGAUUAUUUGUUAUUUGAUCCUUGUGUUAUGAAAAGUUUCAUAUUUUCCCCUUUAGGUUUUAUAGUUUAAAUUUGAACCCAAAAGUUUUGUUGUUUUGAAAUUUAAAUAGUUAAAACCCUAAUGUUUUGAAAAAGGUUUCAAAACUUGCCCUCAAGUUUUGGAAUUUAAAUUUUGAUUAAUUGUUUAAUUUUGAUGUAUAUUUAAAUUCUAAACCCUAAUGUUUUGAAAUGUUUCAAAACUUGCCCUCAAGUUUUGGAAUUUAAAAGUUGAUUAAAAGUUUAAUUAGGAAUGUUAAAUUCUAAAACCCUAGUAUUGUUUUGAAAAAGUUCAAAUCACACCCUUAUGGUUUUAUUAAUUAAUUAAGGUGUAUAAUUAAAAGAGGUUUAAUAAAUCCAUAAAAGUUUUGGUUUACAAUUUAAUUGAAUUAAAAGUAUAAUUGUUAAAUUUGACCACCUAGUAUUUUAAAAGUGUAAAAUACACCCUAUACUAUAUAUAACAUUAAAAGUCUAACAUUAUAUAUAUGUAUGAGUAAAAGUCAGUCUUACCGUUAGUAGGCCUCAUUCACGAAGCUGGUCUAUAAGGGGUGUUUAAGGAAAUUGCCUAUAAAAUGGCGAUUGAAUGGGUAUCCACUCUUACCCACCGCACUCUUGACUAGUGGAGGGUCGUUAGCCGAACGGGUAGGAUAGGACGAAACCUUCCAUUAUAAGUAUAAUGAAUUAUUAAAGUAACUAAAUGUUUUCAUAAAAUUCCCAAUCUUAGUUACUUAGGCAAAAGUGAAUUGAUGCAAUUCCAUGAAAUUACACUUUGUGCCCUUGCGAAGACGUUAGUGGAGCGUGUGUGGUUUACCGGCACACUAAAUGGUUCUAAGCAAAGGUAGCAAAGGGUGACUCAAUGUUUGUCAUAGUUCGGUGGAGCGUGUGUGGUUUACCGGCACAUCGAAUAGGUGACUGUAACAUGUGAGGGCACCAUGUAAGUUUGCAUGGUUAUUCACACCCGCUUUGUGAUCCUCGGCAUCCCAGUCACAAACAAGAGGGGCAUAUCGAGAUUUAAACAUGCCAUUGAAAGUUCAAUGAAUCUCAAAGGAUCUAGGAGUUUUCAUAGAUUUAAAACUUAAAUUUCUUUUUCGUUUUUCAUGGUGGAAAUUAGUGAAUCGUCAUUCACUUACCUUCAAAUAUUCUGCAAUUAGGGUUACGGCAUCCCUCUCCCGAGUUGUAGAAUAUUGUGUUGGGUCCUAGCCUUAGUAUCUCAUUUGGGUGAUUUACUAAGGACUCAAUCAAUCAACUAACUUGAAUUCGUUUUCUCCCGUUUUGUAGAUGUCAAAGUUCGACAACUAUGGUCUUCCCAAAUCCCGUGGAACAAGCAUUCCACAUGAAGAUGAUAUUCCACGAUUCGAUCGAGGAACAAGAAAUCAUGCUUCACUUCCUCCUCCUCCUCCAAUUAUUCUCCCUAACCCACAAGUUCAAAGGCUUGAAAAGUUCAAGAUCACUCAAGCCCUUUUGGCAAGUAAACAUAAAGAAGGAAAGUCGGUGUGUGCACACGUCCUAGGGAUGAAGUCACACAUUGAUAGGUUAAGAAUGUUGGGAUCCGUUGUCUGUGAGGAAAUGGCUGUUGAUUGGGUUCUUCAGUCACUUCCUAACUCAUAUAGUGAGUUCGUAAGAGAGUACUAUAUGAUGAACCGCGACGUGACCCUUAUAGAUCUCACCUAUAUGCUUAUUGCUGCUGAAUCAGCAAUGGUUUGGCGCAAUAGAAAAGCAAAGUUGAUUGGUGAAUCUGCCUUCAAGACCUCUAUGGAUAUAGACAAUGGCAACGAAAGACAUGCUAUGAUCGAAAAGUUUGAUCAUAAGAGAAAGGCAAUGUCUGAAGUAGUUCCAUGUCAUGUUCCAAAAGAGUCAAUUUGCUUUUAUUGCCAAGAGAAAGGGCAUUGGAGACGAAGCUGCCCCAUUUACCUAAGAGAUCUAAGAGAUGGGAGAGUCGAAACGUAUGGCUCUAAUAUAGGUAAAAUCCAUUAACUAACUCUUUUAAGCUUCUAUUCUAGAUUCUUAAUACAUAAUGUGAUAAGAUUACAAUUGAUGUUUUGUAGGAUCGAAGAAAAGAAAGGAAGCUUAAGGGAAGAAGUGAGCAGAAUCUAACCGUGAAGGAAUGGAUUUCGAUCGCAUUUCUCGAAGAUUAGAUUCUUGAGCUACUACUUAGAGUUAGAAUUAGAUUGCUAAGAAAGAUGUAUUAGCAUAGUUUUUCAAUGAAUUGCAUUGUAAGGACAAAUUUUUUCGGAAUAAAAUAAAUUUUGAUUUUAAAUUUUAUUUAUUUAUCCUUGCAAUGGCGUGUAUGAAAAAUUGAUGUUAAAAUGUUUCUAUUAUUAGCAAUAAUGGAUUUGGUUCUUAUUAUGUUAUUUAUGGAAAGUCGAGAAUUUACCAAAUAGGGAGAGUUUCUCAUCGCCCAAGUUUCAAUUGGACAGAAACUUGGAAUCAUGCAACUUGGUUGCACGAUGAAUGAGAAAUUUCAUAUUUGGAAAUUAGACUAAUUCAUUGACAAAGUGUCAAGUGAAGGACUAGGAGAUCGAGUACACAAAGUUGCGUGUUGAUCAAGUCCACCAUAAGAGUAACAAAGAUAUUCGUCAUGAUUUACUAAAGGUUUAGUAAAUAUGAUUAUACUUAUAAGAUUAAGUGUAAUUCUGAAUUGAUUGAAAAAGUUUAAAUCAAUAGCAGAACGAAUAAGAAGAAUCAAGUAGGCAGAAAGAUAAAAGUUUCUCCAUUCUAAGAAGAAGGGAGAGUACCUUUUAUGCUUUAUGAUAGGUCUUAAUGAUUAAGAACCAUAUCUCAAUUGAUCCUCUAAGUGAGUCUUAGUACAAUUGUAUGUCUAAGAAGAGGAAUCAAGAAUUGAAGAAAUGGUUAAAUCAAGAAGUCAAUCAUACUUCGUUCCAAAACAAGUCUUAGAGUUAAGAUUGUGACAUUGAGUGAUAAGUAUUAAGAAGGUUUAUAACAUUCAUCAAAUGUGGAAAGUUGUGAUGUCUUGGAUAAGACAAAGACCAACUAGGACCAAUUUAUGAAGUGUUUUGAUAAAAACUACACUAACUCUUGAAUAUUUGUUUGUCAAGAAAUGUUUAUUGACAAGAGAAUCUUAUAUGUCAAGGAGUCAGUGGGAGUCUUAAUGGUCUUGAAAGGUUUCAAGAACAAAUCAAAUAAACCUUAUCGAUCAUCACUAGCACACGAGUUGAGGUUUACAACCUAUCGUGUUGACAUUAUUUUGUUUCUGUGCCAAUCCAAUCGAGUUAAUUAUGCAUGUGAGUUCUAUGAGUUCUCAUUUUGAACGCAUAAAAGGCAAAGCACCUUAAUCAAUGAAAGGUACAUUGAUAGGAAAGGGUGAGCUGCUUAACUACUUGGAAGACAUGGUGGGCAGCUGUGCUACCAUAAGGCAAGAAAUCAAGAUUAAGAAAGUUCGGUCCAUAUGAGUUUGAAUUUGUCGUAAACUUUGGUUUUAACAAAUUCACAUGGAUAGGAACACAUACACCGUUUAAAUCUAAGUGUCAUAAGAUUUUCUCCUUCAUGAAAAUUAUUGUGAGGAAAUGAUUUCACUAAGAAUGAUUUUAAGAAGAUAGUGAUUGUAAAAUUGCAUUCUCGAAUUCGAUUAUGGUUACGGUAUCCCUUUCCAUAAUUUGAAUUGUGAGGUUUGGCAAUUAGUCUUAAUUGUUUAGACACACAUAUGAACUAUCUAAGGCAAAGGUGUAUAAGUUCAAGAAGCCUUGAUAAAAGAUUAUCAAAGCAUUAAGUAUUAGAAACAUGGACUUAAGAAAUUCAAUAGGUAUUGUUCUUCUGGAAGUUAAGAUGUUUAUGAAUACAUGUCGAAGCUAGUGGGAGCAUAAGUGUUAUGUUUUAUAAUAAUCAUCAUGAUAGUGGGAGCAUAAAUGUUAUGAUUGUAUGAUUAUUAAGGCACGUAUUGCAAGUUGGCAAUAUUAAUUAUAGAAAACAAGAGUUAUACCUUGCAAAGUCGUAAGGGUUGUAAAGUUGUUUUGCUAUAAUUAAGGGAGAGAAUAUUAUGCUUCAUUUCAAAUCUAAAGACUUAGGUUCUGGAAUGUUAAUAAAUUUAGUCAAAGGUACAUAGUGUGUUCUUAAAAUUUCUAUUAUGAUUACGAUAUUCCUCUUCACAAUUCGAAUUUUGAGAACAUAGCAAAUAAAACAUUAUGUGUCGUGUCUCAUACGCUUCGGGUAUAGGAUCGAUUUCAAAUGAUUUAAUGCUUUACCAUUCUAAAAUUUUUCCAAAUGUCUACCGCAUUUAGAGGGAAAAGGGACUAGAAUUGGUUUUGACUAAAAUAAUUAAACAACUAUCAAAGGACAAUCCAAAGUUCGACGAGGAUUGGUUGCUUGUGAGUAGUUGGAAGCAUGGUAUUGGAUGGACCAUAUCGACAUUAUUAUGAAUAGAAAAGAUUCUAUUAAGAAUGAGUUGUCAUAUGGAAAUUAUGGAAAUGUUUCCAUAUUGGAUGGACCAUAUCGACAUUAUUAUGAAUAGAUAAGAUUCUAUUAAGAAUAAGUUGUCUUAUGGAAAAUAUGGAAAUGUGUCCAUAUUGGGAAUUGAAUAUUGAAAAUAUAUAUCUAGAUUAGAAACUUUUAUGCAAGGGAUGUUCAAACGAAUGUACUUUGAGUGAGAGACAUCAUAUCUAAGGAAUUGUAUUGUAACAAUCUCUGAUAGAGGACCUUGUAAUAUCAUUGGCAAUAGUCUUCGUGACUUUGGUGCAGUAACAUUACGAAAGGAUCAUUGCAUAAAAAUGUUAGAAUCUAGCGUAUUCUAUAAGUAGCAAGAAUUUGAUAUUCUUUCACUUAUGAAAAGGAUUUGGAGUUGUGAAAUGAGAAUGAUUGGAAAUGUGUUCAAUGUGAUCUAUUUCACAAAGUAAGAACCAUAGGUAAACAUUGUGUGCAUGCUAGGAGCAUGGGACAAGUGUAAUAAUUCAAGUAAGAAGUUGAUUACCCGAAACGACAAAUAAUGAGUAAUCGAUAUGGUGAUAAAUAAAAGGNNNNNNNNNNNNNNNNNNNNNNNNNNNNNNNNNNNNNNNNNNNNNNNNNNNNNNNNNNNNNNNNNNNNNNNNNNNNNNNNNNNNNNNNNNNNNNNNNNNNNNNNNNNNNNNNNNNNNNNNNNNNNNNNNNNNNNNNNNNNNNNNNNNNNNNNNNNNNNNNNNNNNNNNNNNNNNNNNNNNNNNNNNNNNNNNNNNNNNNNNNNNNNNNNNNNNNNNNNNNNNNNNNNNNNNNNNNNNNNNNNNNNNNNNNNNNNNNNNNNNNNNNNNNNNNNNNNNNNNNNNNNNNNNNNNNNNNNNNNNNNNNNNNNNNNNNNNNNNNNNNNNNNNNNNNNNNNNNNNNNNNNNNNNNNNNNNNNNNNNNNNNNNNNNNNNNNNNNNNNNNNNNNNNNNNNNNNNNNNNNNNNNNNNNNNNNNNNNNNNNNNNNNNNNNNNNNNNNNNNNNNNNNNNNNNNNNNNNNNNNNNNNNNNNNNNNNNNNNNNNNNNNNNNNNNNNNNNNNNNNNNNNNNNNNNNNNNNNNNNNNNNNNNNNNNNNNNNNNNNNNNNNNNNNNNNNNNNNNNNNNNNNNNNNNNNNNNNNNNNNNNNNNNNNNNNNNNNNNNNNNNNNNNNNNNNNNNNNNNNNNNNNNNNNNNNNNNNNNNNNNNNNNNNNNNNNNNNNNNNNNNNNNNNNNNNNNNNNNNNNNNNNNNNNNNNNNNNNNNNNNNNNNNNNNNNNNNNNNNNNNNNNNNNNNNNNNNNNNNNNNNNNNNNNNNNNNNNNNNNNNNNNNNNNNNNNNNNNNNNNNNNNNNNNNNNNNNNNNNNNNNNNNNNNNNNNNNNNNNNNNNNNNNNNNNNNNNNNNNNNNNNNNNNNNNNNNNNNNNNNNNNNNNNNNNNNNNNNNNNNNNNNNNNNNNNNNNNNNNNNNNNNNNNNNNNNNNNNNNNNNNNNNNNNNNNNNNNNNNNNNNNNNNNNNNNNNNNNNNNNNNNNNNNNNNNNNNNNNNNNNNNNNNNNNNNNNNNNNNNNNNNNNNNNNNNNNNNNNNNNNNNNNNNNNNNNNNNNNNNNNNNNNNNNNNNNNNNNNNNNNNNNNNNNNNNNNNNNNNNNNNNNNNNNNNNNNNNNNNNNNNNNNNNNNNNNNNNNNNNNNNNNNNNNNNNNNNNNNNNNNNNNNNNNNNNNNNNNNNNNNNNNNNNNNNNNNNNNNNNNNNNNNNNNNNNNNNNNNNNNNNNNNNNNNNNNNNNNNNNNNNNNNNNNNNNNNNNNNNNNNNNNNNNNNNNNNNNNNNNNNNNNNNNNNNNNNNNNNNNNNNNNNNNNNNNNNNNNNNNNNNNNNNNNNNNNNNNNNNNNNNNNNNNNNNNNNNNNNNNNNNNNNNNNNNNNNNNNNNNNNNNNNNNNNNNNNNNNNNNNNNNNNNNNNNNNNNNNNNNNNNNNNNNNNNNNNNNNNNNNNNNNNNNNNNNNNNNNNNNNNNNNNNNNNNNNNNNNNNNNNNNNNNNNNNNNNNNNNNNNNNNNNCCAAAAACGUGGCUAAGACUUCUCUAGGGUUUGUGGACAUUUUUGGGCAGCCUCCAUCCUCUCUCCUCUUCAUCCUCUUGCUUAUGGUGUUUGUGAACCAUUAGAGGAGUGACAUUUGUGACUCUAAGCUUUCUAAAGUCAAUACAAGGAGGAAUUGGGAUUGUUAUUGCUACAUAACAAUCAAGGUAAUAUCUUAAACCCAUUCUCAUGUAAAUAUGAUUAUUUGAAUGCUAGAAUUAGGGUUUAUAGUCUUGGAUUACUUGCAUGUACAAUAGAGAAACCUAGAUCCAAGCAUUAGGAUUUGUAUGAUCACAUAGGAUGUUCUUAGGACCAAAACCCAUCAAUUAUAUCAAUCACAUGUGAUUAAUAAGCAGCAUUCAAAUGAUUUACUACUCAUUAGCUGUUUUACCAAACAGUUUUCUUCACAUGAUUUUCAUAAAUUUUUUAUAUGUUUAAAACUCCUUAUUAAACUGUUCAUUUUACACUGUAUGUUUCAUUUCAAACUCAUUUACAAUUGUGUUUCAAACAAAUGUUUCUUUAUACCUAAACUGUUUUAUCAAACAAAUACUUUCAACUCGUUUUAUAGGCUGACAUCAAGUCGACCUUUUCAUAGAUAAUAAUCAUGUUUAAAGGUUUUAAAAAACUUAUUUUAUGCUUUUAUAUUGUCAGUUGCAUGCCUAUAUAUGUAUAGUUAUAUAAGUAAUGUUUAAAGGACUUAGGAAGGCUAUCCGCCUUAUUUCCUGUUCUCCGUUGAGAUGUGGUCUGGUGGGGUAGCGGGUAUCUGACCGAAGAUCGUUUAAAUACUAGUUAUAUAUCAUGUGUACAUAUAUAGUCAUAAAGGUUCUUCCAGUCAGUUCAAUACCCUUGGGUAGCAAGGGUAUACUUCCAUGUUCAUACGUACCAGUUAUAUUACUAGUAAGCUACCAUAUGGGUAGUUUAGGAAGAUACUAUUACGUUUACUAGAAUGCGGAAUCAUACCACAAGUCAGUUCAUUCAUGAAUCAAUACUUGCUAGAUAGAGAGAACACACAAUACAACUAGUACACACAGAGCAUUACAAUACUUGCUAGAUAGAGAGAACACACAAUACAACUAGUACACAGAGAACAUUAGAAUACUUGCUAGACAGAGAGAAUACACAACAUAGCUAGUACACACAGAACAUUACAAUAAUUACUAGAUAGAGAGAACACACAAUACAGCUAGUACACACAAUACAUUACAAUACUAUACAGAGAGAACAUNCCGUUUUUUUAUCCAGAAUCUCCUUAAUUGGGGAGCGUAUGAGUUUGCGUAUAGAUCUAUACUGGAUUGACUAUCCUACACCUUGCUGCUCGCUACAGUGAGACUUGCAAGUCUACGGGUGCCAAAUGUCAUUUCUUACGGCGUCUUACGUCAUCGUUUUACUAUUGAGUCGGUAGCAGGAUACAGGCCGAUCACAUGUUACUUUAAAUUUCAUUUGGUUUAAGGUAGUUAGUACAGCAGUAGUCACUUAUUAUAAAACUAUAGUACUUUAUUAUUUCCCCAUUACAUUCACUUCGUGAACAUUCACACGAUGCACGGUAAUGUAAAUACUAUAUUUUUGGUUAAUGAUAGUUAGAUUUGGGAAAAUACACACUCUUACAAUAGACACACACACAGAUACUAGAUACCUUGGUAGAAGGAUACUUUUAGUAGGAAACAUAUGGUUUUCUAGGAUGUUCAAAACGUUUUCAUACUUACAGUUCAUAUACAUACAAAUACUUACAUUCCAAAUACAUACAAAUAUUUACAUUUCAAAUACAUACAAGUUAAGACACUAAAAUACUUAUGAUCUCACCAGCUUUAAAGCUGAUACUCUCUUUCAAAAUAACUUGUAUCCUCAGGUCAAUAGUAGACAGGUACAGAUGCAAGGUUUAGAGAAGAUGGAGCUCGUUCAAGACUCAUCUUUCAUUUUGUUUUAUACCUUUGUGUCUAUUAUAAUUUGACAGAACACACUUGUAUUAAAAUUAUAUUAUUAAUGCACAGGAUGAUGUUAUUUCUUGUUUACUACUUUUCAUUGUUGUGAUACUGUACAUGACGUCCUCCGCCCCAGAAUGUUUCCGCCGUUCAUGGUUUUGGGGUGUGACACAGACGCCUAUCAAAAGACAAUGGUGAGGAAAUUGAAGGUAAAUAUAGGAAAGCCUAGGGAUGUCUAUAGUUUGCAAGAAAGAGAUCAACUUCUUUAAUGCCAGAUACGAUUCAAGAUCCUAAAUGCAGCGAAAGAAUUCGUUCAAUUCAUGAUCCUUCAUGUAAAAUAAACAUAUAAAAUCAAGGAUCCUUACUAGUAGAUAUAGGGAUAGUAUCAGUUCAAUUCUCUUGAAGACUAUGUUUUCAGAUAUUGAAUUAUCUCUCAAUCUCAGGGAAAGCACAGAAACCCUCAAUCCUAUCUUCAUUAUCUUCAGCAAUAGGGACCAACUCUUCAAACUUGAAAGCUAUCAAAAAAAUCACACAAAAUAAGGUAAUGUGAAUUCCAGGAUCGUUAGUGUGAUGACAUGAAACCCUACCCUUUUUAACCCCCGAUUUUUUAAGAGGUUUCUGUCAGGGAUGAAGUCGUAUCUCAUGAAGAAAUACUUUUCUUUCGAAUCGCGAUCAUUAUUUUUGGAAUUCAGUGCAAGGGGUAACUUUUUAGUUUUAACUUUGAGCAAAAAUGAGAGUUCCUAAAUGUUGAAAGAUCAUAGACAUAAGCCAACUCUUUCAAGCCAAUAUUAAGACCAAUAGAGUUGUUCAACCUAUCGAUCUAGUCAAGGAUCCUCCAAACCAUUGGCUUGGCUUGAAUGUAGGAAAUUAUGGUAAUCUCAAAGAACUCGGAAACGUUCCAUGAAAAGGGCAAGAAAGACCUAUGAAUAAAGGAUAUUCAGAGAAGGAAACCCAAGAGGAAGACACAAAGUCCGGUUGACUCUUAGGAACGGAAGGUUUGAAAACGGCGCCAACAGGAAAAAGCCCCAACUGAUUUCAUAACUUCAAUUUUGUUAUCGUCGAAGGAACAAGUUUCCUCAUAAGAUAAGACUUUUUUUAUCAACAAAAUCAUCAUCAGGAACAUCGAUGUUGUUUGUGCGAGAGCGAGUUGGUUCCUUACCCAUAAUAAAAAAAACAGAUAAAAUUAAGGAGAAAAGAACAGGGUGAGUACCUUCUUAUAUAUUCAAUAUCAUAUGGAAGAGACCUUAAAUAGUAAAUGGAAAACAAGAACCUAAAUGUCCUAUUUAUGCGAGUAUCACAGAAGGGAAGAGGGAUGAUUUGAGAGAUAAUCAUGCCUGUAUCAACGACUAGAAUUCUAUUCGUUGGAAUUCAAAUUUCCUUAUCCAUUAAAAUUUCAAAAUCCUUACUCUUCUUUUUUAGUUAAAUUAUACACCAUUAAAUAUUUAGGGAUUAACAUAAGUAUUUCAUAGUUAUAAUUCGGAGGCAAUUGUUAGGGCCAAGAUCCUCAACCCUAUUUAGGAUCCCAGAUCUUCAAGAACUUUCAGGAUCCUGACCAUUAUCACUACUACCAUUUCCUAAUGUUUCUGACAGAUAUAUUCUAGCCUUUUCUCAUAUGUACAAAUUAGUCAACAUAAGACUCAUUCUCAAUGAAGAAACAUUUUUACCAGGUAGAAGACCCGAGAAUACCAAGUCAAGCCAACGUGUUCAUCUUUAUUCAAAAGGAUCCCAGAAAUAUCUAACUUAUUGUUACUUAGACCAUACUAUAAAUACACAUGUAUUUCACCCACCACAUACACCUAGAGUCAUUGUAAUACUUGUACUUGUUUACUUACUUUCAUUUCUAUAAUCUAUCUUUCAAAUAAUACAAAUAAACAAGACAUGUGAUGAUCAUCACCUUCCAAGGUUUUGUGUCAGAGAUCCUAGCCAGGAUCAAGGUAUUUCCUUGUAAAUCACUUGUGCAAUCUCGUUCUAAUCUUGAUAAUCACUUUACCUAUAACACCACAACCUCUCAUUGAAUUUGGUUGAUAUUCACUCAACUGAUUUUUGACCAAAACAUCAACUAGGUGAGUGCCUUCUUCGUAACUAAACUUAUCCCUGAAUCUUGGGCAUUACAGAUGAUGUUGAAUAUCCCUCCAUGAUCUUGUUAGGCAGGUUCUCAUGAGCUAGAAGUUACACCAUGUGUAAACAUGGGCACCUGUCUUAAUAUGAAUCCUUCGGCAUGCCAUUCUAAAUAUGCACCAACUUCAAUGUUCUAGAUACUAGGCUGCAAGAAUUAAGAAGGAUUUUGUCUAUUCUACAUAGGUCUUCUCGAAUUUGAACUCAACUUAUCCUUUCUUUCAAACAUAAUCAUGUUGCUUUCAAUCUGCUAAAUGAUAUGUUAGUCCUUCCUGGUCAACUUGGAUAUUAUCUUCUUGGUUGAGACCAUAACCAAUAGUUAAUGGUUUGACCCUCCUUCUUCUUGCACUGGUGAAGAUAUAUAGACAUCAACACAUCUCCUUUGUGUAUUAAUAACAGGAGGAGGGGGUAGGCUAUGACCAACAUAAAUGGAUGGAAUGGUGCAAGAGGCAUAUUUUUAUAAAGUAGACAUUUUUAGUGAGAAAAUGUGUAAGUGAUUGAAAAAUUACAAGAAUUUUUUUGAACAAUCCUAAGAAAAAAUGUAAUAACACCAAUUGUCCCACAGAUGGCGCAAAUUGUUUUGGUCAAAAUUUGGUCAACUAAUUUUAUAACCAGAUUAAUAAGUAUAGUGUGAUGUUUAAUUAUAAUAAAAUGUUUAACUUUAAAGUGCUUAAGAUCUUGAAAUGUGCUAAAGAACCCGGUCAUGCCCAAGAUCCCAGCGAAGAAAACAAGGAUAUUCAUAAAGUUGUUUGAUAAAAUUGAUCUAUUUGGAAGUGUAUAUGUGUGUAUUUAAAGUAAUUUGGGAAAAAAAUAGUGUUAAAAUUGUUAAAUAGGUAAAUUGUCGAAUAAAUCUUAAGAUAAUCCAAAAGAGACAUGAUAUUAUAGAAUAUCUUGGUAAUUUAGUAAGAUUAUAAUCGUAAAGUCAAGUAAACGAUUAACUAAAGGUGCAAAAAUGUUGUAAUCAAUCAACCAACAGUAAAUAAGUAAAAGUAAGUGCAAGAACAGAGAGCCGUACGAGGAAUGCCCUUAAUUCUUUUGGAUCACCAAUAUAAAACCACAGGAGGUGAUAAAAUCACAUACCUUAGAACUUCAACUAAUAAAAAUAACAUUACAAUUACUAGUUUAUCGUAUUGUAAGUGUAAAAGAGCUCAAGUGUCAAGAGAAAGAAUAUGAGAAUAGAAGUGAUAAUGUGAGUGUGAGUGAUGAAUCAGGUAGGCUUUUAUACAUAUGCAUAUUAACAAAUAUUCCUAUAUUCUAGGGAUCUUCCUUGAUCCAUGUCUGACCCGAUAUUCUCAAAGGACUUCAACGCUUAUUAAGCUUUGACCACGACCUUUUGACCUAGUCUAUUCUUUUUAGUCAAGCAUUCAACUAAUGCACAAGAAAUUACAAGAAACGUGUUGGCAGUCCCAAAAUAUUGACUAAAUCUAAGAUCUAGGGUUACCCGAGAUGUUAACAUAAUUUCAAGAUAUUUAACAAUUGUGUUGAUUAAUAUUUGGACAUUGAGAGUUGUCUAAUCUAUUGUGUUAGCAUGACUAAAGCUCCAUGAAUAUUAUUAUAGAUGACCCUAUGUUUGAAAGGUUACCGUUAGUGUUGGGACCGAUCAUACCAAUAGAAUCUUACCUAAUACAAAUUAUAUUUAUUGGUUGAUAACUUAGAAAUAUAUGAUUAGAGAGAUAUUGAUAAUUUUGAUCUAAUCAAUUUAGAAAACAGUAAACAAUAUACUAAUAUUCAUUUCGCAUAAUAUAAUUCUUCCACAGAAAUGAUUAAGUCCAAAUAUGCAAUCUUAUUUGCUACUUUAUUUAAAAGACAUUUAUCACAAACUCCACUUUAUAUGUUUUCUUCUGAAAUUGAUUAAUAUGAUUAUUUAAUAGUAAUAGUACAUCUCCAUAGUCAUGUGUUCGGCACUUUAUACAUCUAAACUUUGUUAUUCAUGAUAAGAUCCAUUGCCUAGAGGUUAUAGUCAUAAUUUGUAUUGUUUGAUUUUAUAAAUUUAAAAUUGGAUUUGCAGUUCAAUUUUUUUUAUAUAUACUAUUUUAUGCACAUCAAUAUGUGAUUAUAAAAAGAAGUUGAAAAUGGCAUAAAACUUCAUUAUCGUUUUCUGUAUACACUUUUGGUUAUUCAAGUAAAUUGUGAGGGGUUAAGUGCAAUUUAUAAGGCCUAUGUGAAAAAGAUGGCCUAUAGGUUCUCUAUAAAGUUCCAAUAUAGUGGAGUAGGAAUAGACCUUGUUUGGAACUUUGGUGACUGUUUUUUGAAACAUAUUUAGUUACAAAUUAUAUAUACACUUUCAAUAUAAAAUUCACUUUCUAAUGUUAAUUUAAUACAAUUUAUUUAACUUUUAAUUUAAGAAAUUAUAUUUCUCAAGUUUUACUAUAUAUAUUUUACUAAUUUUUAAUAUAUAUUUUAUUAAUUACGUUUUUCUUUAUCAAUCGUUCAAAUACAUUUUUAUUUGAAAUUAGUUUUAAUUAUUUUAUCUUUAUUUUUUUAUAUUUUAUUUUGAUAUUUUGAUUUUAUUCUUUUAGUUGAUAAAUAAUUAUACAAUAAAUUAGAAAUUUAAUUUAAUUUAGUUUUUAAUUUUAUGUUUUUUUUCAAUAUUUUUUUUAUGUAUUCAUUUUUAUUAUUUAGUGUUUUUGUGUUGUUUAAGAUUUGAUUCUAUCUUUGUUAUAUUAAUUGAGAAAUUAAUAACUAAGAGUAUCAAUUAAUGACAUUACACAAAAAACUAUAUGAUAUAAAAUUUAAAUUAAAAUUUAAAUUUGUGUGGUGUCGUCUUUAUGUUCAUGAUAUUAACAUGCGAAUACUCUGUCUUUGUGUUUGUCAUGUUUUAGAAGAUUGAUUUUAAUAAAAACAAAUCAUUAUAUUAUAACGUCUUUUUUCCAUAUAGUAGUUUGUUGUGUUAGAUAAAAAGACGAUAGGACUCCACGAUUUCAAUACUUUAAUCAUAACACCUACUUCCAUCGACAUGUAUUACUAUACAACUUAUACUUUAACCAAGAAUAAGCAUUGUAUAAUUCAAAUAUACUUAGAAAGUAAAAUUCCAAAUAACAUUCAAUAAUUCGUCAUAUGCAUAAAAAAUAUGGUCGAAGAAUGAAGUAAUUGAUUCUAGAAAGUAAUUUUUUCUCACAAUCAUAAUGAAGAUGAUUGAGAUGAAAUUCAGUCGGAUUUACACGAGUUAUUACCGCACACAUGGGGGUAUAAUGUACUUCCCGCUUUUCUGUUGUUUGCAAGAUAUUUUGUAGAAUACAAAUGUUGCUAAAAAUUCUGAAACAAAAUGUUCUUUCCAAAGGUGAUAUUGUCUGAAGUAGUGAAGAUUGUAUGACGAUGUUAUUUAUAGAAGCUUAUUAAGAUACUUCAGUAUGUAACACAUGGACUAUCAUACUACAAACAUACAUCGUAUGUUACAGAGAAUGGUUAGUUUUGGAUUUCAGGUAUGUAUAUCCAUGUGUAAAUGUAUAAUUGCUUUACCGUGCAAGUUGAGUUUUGGUUGUAUAUGUUGGAUUAAUGUCUAAGUCCAUAACUAUAAUUGGUAAGACUUGACCCGACCCGGCAUGGUCCAUUUGGGUUGCAAACCUUCAUGCACUUAAAUAGACUAUAAUGAGAGAAAUAAGACACUUAUGGUUAUUAAUAUAUUAUAAGUUCUAGUAUAUUAAUAAUAAGAAUAAUAAGAUUGUUUAAUUAGUAUUGAUCAAGAAUUAAUCUAGGAUUAAUUAAGUGAUCAAAAGAAGACUAAUUAAAUAUAUGGGUUGAUUGUGUAAAUCAUCCAUACUUAUAUAGUGGGCUAAUGCUCCAUGGAUAAUCAAGUUGGGCUAAAACCCAUAGGAUGGUCCAUGGGUGCUCCAUGGUGUAUUUGAACCCAUGGAUCCAAGGAAAUGGAAAGUCAUGACAAUUAAGGAUUUACCCUAAUUGUAACACUAUAUAAUGAUCUUAUUCUUGACAAAAAUCGGCCACUAGGAUUAUUCUAGAGAGGGCUAGCCGAUUUCAUGAAGUGUAGAACUCUCUCAAGUUAUUCUAAGUGUUUUGAUAACUGUGAUUCCAUUUGAGGCUUCCACACUAUUGGGGCUAGGCACUCAAGCUUCAUGAAGACUUUCUACAUCAAAGAGGUAUGUAUUCUAUCUUGUUAUAUUCAUGUUUUGUAUGAUAGAUUAGGAUGAUACCUUGGAUAUUCUUAUUUGCAUGUAUAAUAGAGAAAACAUAGAUCCAAGGUAUUUAGGGUUGCAUGUACACUUAGGAGUGUUAGAAUGCUCAAAACCCAACAGUGGUAUCAGAGCCUAGGCAUGUUUUCUUGUUAUACUUGCAAAUGGAGCUGAAAAAUCGAGUUGUGAUGCUGUCAGCCCAGCAGACUCGCCGAGUCCAUGAAGGGACUCGACGAGUCCAAGGCAAAAUUCAUCCAACUCGCCGAGUUAUGUUCAUGCACUCGACGAGUUGGACCCCAGACAGCAUAUUUUCGAGGUUUUUGGCUAGAAAUGGACUAGGAACAUUACCCUACGUUGUUUUUGAACUUAUAAACUUGUUUUUUAAUGUGGUAAUGUUCAUGCUAAUCCAUUUUCAAAGAUAAUUGUCAAUAGAUUCAUGUUUUGUAUUAGUUUAAGGUUUAGACUAAUUACAUGAAGAAGUUUGAUAUGAAUUAUCUUGUUCUUAUGAGUUGCUUAGAUUAAUAGAAAAGUUAAUUGAAAUAGUUGUUUUCAAUCCAUUUUAAUCUAAGAGUUGAGUACAAAAUGUGUUUGUGUAACUUGUCCUCAAGUUACAUGAAGAGUCACAUUAAAGACUCAUAAAACUCAUAAAAGUUGGUAAUGGUUACAAAAUGAAGAGUCUUGUGUCAUUUAAUUUUUUUUUAUGACUCCAUAACUUGUCCUCAAGUUAUGGAAAUUCAAGAGUCACUUCAUUAAUAAAUAAAUAAAUAAAUAAAGUGUAACCUUAAUUAAUUCCAUAAGUUAUAAAAAUAAAGAAAAGAUUAAUUCUUUUAUUAGUUUAAAGUCUUCCAUAAGUUAUGGAACUUGAAGAGUUUUUUGGAUUAAAACUACUUUAAACACAUAAGUUAUGGAAUUAAUUAGUUUUGAAUAGUUUCAAAACUUGCCCUCAAGUUUUGGAAUUUGAAAAGUUUUCACUUAUGAAUACUUUAAUUCCAAGUUAGCCCUUAGAUUUUUAAAAAAGUUAAAAUUCAACACUUAUACUAUUUAUAACAUUAAUGGUUAAUUAUUAUAUAUAUGUAUAAGAACAAGUCGUUUUACCGUUAGUAGGCCUCAUUCACGAAGCCGGUCUAUAAGGUGGGUAUAAGGUUGUUGCCUAUAAAAUGGCGACUUAAUGGGUGUCUACUCUCACCCACCGCUUGCUUGACUGGUGGAGGGUCGUUAGCCGAACGGGUAGGACAAUGACUUUAAAUUCUCCCUUCAUUAAAAGUAUUAAUGAUAAAUACUAAAGUAACUAAAAUCUUAAUAAUUCCCAAUCUUAGUUACUUUAGGAAAAAUGUGAAUUUGGUGCUAACCCAUGGAAUUCACACUUUGUACCUUACCAAGUCGUUGGUGGAGCGUGUGUGGUUAACCGGCACACUAACUUGGACUAGUAAGGACCACGAAGGGUGACUUAAUGUUUGUCAUAGAUCAAUGGAGCGUGUGUGGUUAACCGGCACAUUGAUUAGGUGAUAAUAUUAAGGGUACCAAGUGAAUUGGUAUGGUUAUUCACACCUUGUUUUGUGAUCCUCGGCAUCCCAGUCACAAAAUUUGAGAGGGCACACUCGAGAUUGAAACAUGCCAUUGAAAAGUUCAAUGAAUCUCAAAAGAUCUAGGAAUUUCAAAUCCAAUUAAAACCUAAUAAAUUAUUUCGUUUUUCAUGGUGGAAAUUGGUGAAUCGUCAUUCGCCUACCUUCAAAUAUUUUAUAGCUUGGAUUACGGCAUCCCUCUUCUAAGUUAUAAAAUAGUUUGUUGGGUCCUAGCCUUAAUAUUUCAUAUUGGGUGUCAUAUUAAGGACUUUAAAUCAACUAUCUUGAAUAUCUCCCAAAACAUGUCUGGUUUAGACAUUUAUGAUCUUCCCAAAUCUCUUGAAGAUGAUGUUCCUCAACAUCAUGCUUCACUUCCUUUAUCUCCUCCAAUUAUUCUCCCUCACCCACAAGUUCUUGAAAAGUUUAAAGUCACUCAAGCCCUAUUGGCAAGUUAAGGUCUUGGUGUGGUCACAUCUUGGAGAUGUAGUCACAUAUUGACAAGACGGGAGAGUUGGGUGUCAAAGUCUCGUGAAAGUUGGAUGUUCAAUCACUUUCUUAGUAACAUAGCGGGUCACUUUGGGACUACUAUGAGACAGACUAUGACACGAGCCUUAAUGAUCUUAUCUAUUUGUUUUGUGCUGUGGAAUCAGCAAUGAUUUGGAACACUAGUAAAGCAAAUUUUGUUAGAAGAUCAACUUCCCAAACCUUAAAUGGACAUUGGCAAUGGUAGCAUUGGAUAUCUAGAAAAGCAUUUCUCUUCCCAAUGGAAAGGGAUCGGCCAUAGUCAACUCGGUUGACCAAAUGGUAAAGAGAAAGGCUAAGUCUGAAAUAGUCUCAUGUGCCAUUAUCAAAGGGUCUCCAUAUGUUUAUAUUGCCAAAGAAAGGGGCAUUGGUUGCGAAGCUGCCCUAUUUACCUGAAAGGUCAUAAGGUUGAUCAAGUCAAGAGGUUUGACUCUACUUCGGGUAAAAUACACUGUAUAACUCUGUUAAGUUCCUAUUUGGAGAUUCUUAUUACAUAAUGUGAAUGGGUCACAUGCUGAUGUCUUUUAAGAAUCAAAGAAAAGAUAGGAAGCUUAAAGUAAGUAUAUGCUGAUUCUGAUUGCGAAGAUGGGUUUCGAUCGCAUGGUUCGGUAAUCAGAAUUUUGAGCUGUUGCUUAAGAGUUAUAAUAUAUUGCUUGUGAAUAGAUAACAACAAGGUUUUCAUGUGGAUUGUAAGGAUAAGUUUUUCCGCAAAGUUUUAAAAUAAAAGAAAAAAAGGUUUUAAUUUUAUUUAUUUUAAAAAUAUCCUUACAAUGGCAUCGGUGGAAAAUUGUUGCUUAUAUGUUUCCAGUAAUAGCAAUAUUGGAAAGUGGAUUUGAUUCUUUCAUUUGUGGUAGUGUCUGAAUUUACCAAAUGAAGAAAGUUUUUCAUCACCCAAGUUUCAAUUGGACAGAAACUUGGAAUCAUACAAGUUGUAUUGUAUGAUGAAUGAGAAUUUUCAUCUUUGAAAAAUUAAGACUAAUUCUUUGAUCACAUGUAUAUGUGAGUCAAUUGAAGGACUAAGGAAUUAGGUACACUGGGUGUGCGCUGGUCAAGGUCCACCACAAAGAUUGAUUUGUCAUGAUUUACUAAAGAUUAGUAAAUAUGAUUAUACUUAUAAGGUUAAGUAUAAUUUUGUAACAUUGGAAAACGAAUAAGAAGAAUCAAAUUAGGCAGAAAGAUAAAAGUUUCUCAAAUCUGAAAGGACGGGAGAGUACUUUAGUAUCAGCUUUGUGAUCAUCUUAAUGAUUAAGAAACCAUAUCAAAAUUUGUUCUCUAAGAAAGUCUUAGUGCAUUCUUAUGACUAAGAAGAAGGGAUCUUGAAAUUGUUGAAAUGGUUAAAUCAAGAAGAUGAAUCAUACUUCGUUCCAAUACAAGUCUUGGAGUCAUACUCCAAGAUUGUAAUUUGAGUGACAUGUCUUAAAGAAGGUUUAAAACACUUAUCAAAUGUAAGAGUAAAAUGUUUUCUACUCUUGUACAUUUGAGAUUGGUAAGUUGUGAUGUCUUGGAUGAGACAAAGACCAACUAAGACCAAUUGUGUGAAGUGUUAGUCUUGAUAAGAAUCCGCACUAUCCCUUGAAUAUUUGUUUUAUCAAGGAAUGGUUCUUGACUAGGAAAACUUAUAUGUCAAGGGGACAGUGGGAGCCUUAAAGAUCCUGAAAGAGUUUCAAGAUUUAAUCAAGAGUAAAACCUGUAAUUUAUCACUAGCACACGACUUAAGGUUUUCAACCUAUCGUGUUGACAUAAUUCUUAUUUCUGUACCUACUUCAAAUAAGUUGAAUUUACAUGUGAGUUAUCAGAGUUCAACUUGGAAGCAUUGGUGGGCCUUGUGUUACCAAGGUGACAAGAAACUAAGAUUGAAUAAGUUUAAUCCAUGUAGGGCUGAAUUUGUCACUAACCUUAUCUUGUGAUUAUGGUUUUGACAAAUUCGCAUGGAUAGGAACUCAUACACUAUUAAAUCUAAGUGUCAUAAGGUUUCUCUCCGAUUCAUGAAAAUGAUGGUGAGGAAAUGCUUUCACUAAAUAGAUUUUAAGUAGAUAUCAAUUGUGUCAUUUGCAUUUUCAAAAGUCAUUAGUGGAGCGCGUGUGGUUAACCGGCACACUAACAUGGACUUGUGAGAAAUGGCAAAUGCCUAAGCAAUUGAGACUAUGAUUACGGCAUCCCUUUUCAUAGUUCUGAAAAUUGUUUAGACACACAUGUGAGCUAUCUAAGAAAGGGUGUAUGAAUCUAAAUUUCAGAAGUCCAACAGAUUUCUGGAAAUGUGUCAGAGCUAGUGGGAGCAUAAGUGUUAUGCUGAUAAUCAUCAUGUUAGUGGGAGCAUGACUAUUAUGAUUAGUAUUGCAAGCUAGCAAUGUUAAUUAUAGAAAACAAAGUUUCAAUCCGUGAAGUUGCAGGGGUUGAAAAGUUGUUUUGCUAUAAUUAAGGGAGAGGAAAUUAUACUUCAUGUCAAUUCUAAAGCUUAGAUUGAGAUUUUAAUCAUCUUUAGUCAAGAAUAUAUGUGAAUUUUGUGUUGGAAUGGUUCAACUUGAAGAAAUUCUAUAUAUAUUGCAUUUUCAAAAUUCGAUUAUGAUUACGGCAUCCCUCUUCAUAGUUAAAUUUUGAAAACAUGGCAAAUAAAAAAUAUUGUAGCAAAAGACUGGUCUAGUGUCAUGUCUUUAUGUCAAACAUCAUGAAUAGUAUCCCAUAUGCUUCGGAUAUAGGAUCGAUUUCAUGUGCUAUAAUAUUCAUCCUUUCUAAAUUUUCCAAAUGCUUAAGGCAUUUAGAAGGGAAAAGUCUAGAACUGGAUAUGACUAAAGUGAUUAAGCAAUUGUCGAGGACAAUCUGAGGUUCGCCAAAGAUUGGUUGCUCAGGGACAUUUGGAAGUCUAGUGUUAAUUUUGGUAGGACCAUAUCGACAUUUUCUGAAAAGAGGUAACUCUUGUUCGGAAGUGAUAGUCAAAUAGGACUAUGGAAAUGUCUCCAUAGGUGGAAGUGAUUCAAUCUAUGUAAGAUUAGGAAACUUAAUGCAAAAAGGAUGUUCCCAAGGAGCUGAUCUCCUUUGGAAUGCUCUGUAAUGGUUGUUGUCAAGUCUUUCUGACUUUGUGCAUAAUCAUUACAAGAGGAUCAAUGCAUAUAAGUUUAGAAUCUAACAGAUUUCAGUAAAUGACAUAAAUUUGGAAUUCUUGCAUUUACAAUAAGGAUUUGGGAUUGUGAAAUGAGUAUCAUUGGAAUCAUGUUCAAUUGAUCUACAUCACAAUGUAAGGAUCAUAGACAAACAUAGUGUGCAUACUUGGGGUAUGGCAUAACUAUUGUUUAGAAAAACAAAGUGUACAUGCUAGGAGCAUGGGACGACUGUUGUUUUUAUUCAAGUCUUAAGUUGAUUAUUUGAAACAUUGAAUAAUGUGUAAUCAAUAUGGUGAUAAAUAAAAAGUGGUUUUAUUUAUAUUCAAAAGGGUUCUGAGACCAUAUUAGAUUCGAUUAUUAUUGUAUUUCACUUUGCAUGUUUUGACUUCCAAAAUAGCUAGGUUAUUCUUUCCGGAUGACUAAGUUAUUUAAACACUCCACAGUCGUUCAUAUGUUGGAAGUAGGUAUGAAUCAAGACUGUCAUGAAUCGGGUUUGUAGAUGGCUAAAUGAGUUUAGUCAUGGCAAUGGUUGCUACAACAUUCAUGAGUACUCAUAAGUUAUGAGUAUUGGAAUAAACCCACGCUCACUUGUAUCACUUCAUGGAAUUUAUCUCGAGUGAUCGUGAGACGAUAAUAUCAUAUAAAUCUUCAAACCUAGAGAUAUGAGUUGUUACCUAUGAGUUGGUUGUGCAUUGAUUGCACGUAAACGCAUCAGUAACUUGAUGUUAUAAAACGUGCCUUUGUGUACAAUUCAACAAGUAGUAGAACAAGCAUAUGAGUCGAAGUUUAUCUGUUCCUUCUAGAAAUAGAAGCGAUAUCUGGGCCCCUCGAUGAUUUUGUUGUGACCUAUGUACCGGCCGGUCAGAACUGAAUUGAUGUGUUCGAUUAAGUUCUUUGUCAAACAAAUCGAAAAUCGGGAAACAAACUGCUGGACAAUAAGUACGACGUUGUUCCAUGUAUUUGUCCGGCUGAUAUCAUGAGAACAGAGGAUUAUAUGAUCCCUUAUCUAAUGGACAAGUCAUUGACAAGAUCAGAGUUCAUCUACAAGGUCAGAGUUCGACAGAAGCUUUUGAGAGCUACGAUUGUCGGUUGGUUCCUGAAGUCAUACGCAAUAAUAGUUUUAGACUUAUCCAAGUGGGAGACUGUUGGAUUAAUGUCUAAGUCCAUAACUAUAAUUGGUAAGACUUGACCCGACCCGGCAUGGUCCAUUUGGGUUGCAAACCUUCAUGCACUUAGAUAGACUAUAAUGAGAGAAAUAAGACACUUAUGGUUAUUAAUAUAUUAUAAGUUCUAGUAUAUUAAUAAUAAGAAUAAUAAGAUUGUUUAAUUAGUAUUGAUCAAGAAUUAAUCUAGGAUUAAUUAAGUGAUCAAAAGAAGACUAAUUAAAUAUAUGGGUUGAUUGUGUAAAUCAUCCAUACUUAUAUAGUGGGCUAAUGCUCCAUGGAUAAUCAAGUUGGGCUAAAACCCAUAGGAUGGUCCAUGGGUGCUCCAUGGUGUAUUUGAACCCAUGGAUCCAAGGAAAUGGAAAGUCAUGACAAUUAAGGAUUUACCCUAAUUGUAACACUAUAUAAUGAUCUUAUUCUUGACAAAAAUCGGCCACUAGGAUUAUUCUAGAGAGGGCUAGCCGAUUUCAUGAAGUGUAGAACUCUCUCAAGUUAUUCUAAGUGUUUUGAUAACUGUGAUUCCAUUUGAGGCUUCCACACUAUUGGGGCUAGGCACUCAAGCUUCAUGAAGACUUUCUACAUCAAAGAGGUAUGUAUUCUAUCUUGUUAUAUUCAUGUUUUGUAUGAUAGAUUAGGAUGAUACCUUGGGUAUUCUUAUUUGCAUGUAUAAUAGAGAAAACAUAGAUCCAAGGUAUUUAGGGUUGCAUGUACACUUAGGAGUGUUAGAAUGCUCAAAACCCAACAGUAUAUAUACUGAGGUGUUGGUUGUAAAUUAGGUUACACUUUUUCUUAUAUUUUUGUGUUCAUAGCAUUCUUUUUUAGAGACAUUCAUUGUAAUAUUGUUCAAAAUGAAUCAAAGAGCUAAAAAGUAAUAUUUAGAUCAUUGUGUUCUAUUAAUUUCACAUUCUAUAUUCCUUAUUUGAAUUCUUGUCUCAUAAAGUAGUAUUAGAUUUGGAAUCAUUUAUCAGUUUGAAGAAUACAAUUCAAAUGUUCAUCAUGAAUUUGAAUUUGUUUCUUAAAUUUGUUUUUUUCUUUUGAAAUCCAUUCCUUCAAACUUGUUUGUCUAUUGUGAUCAUAAUCUAAACAUCAAUAAUGAAUUACAAUACAACAAUGAUGAUCAAUUAUGCAAAUGUUCUUAGAUGAGUAAGAAAAACUCCAAUGUUUUUGUCAGAUCACUAAGAUCAAUGGAAUGAUCGUAUGUAAGACUGUAACACCGUAAAUUUUCAAACAAAAUUUUCUAUUUUAAAUUACCAACAUCAUAUAUAAUAAUUCUCAAAAUCUCAAGUGUCGAUGCCAUAACAUAUUUCAAAAUAGUUUUCAAAAGUAAUUAUCAAAAUCCAGGAUCCUCAUUCAUGAAUCUUUUCUCUUGUGUGUACAAUCGAGUCGCCGCCUUCCCGUGAUCCUGAUAAGAACCUGAAACACAUAACACAUAACACGGUAAGCCUAAAGCAUAGUUAGUUCCCUAAAAUACCAUAUACACAUAUUAGCCACUCGAGGCAAUAACUCUGUAGGACCCUCCGGUCCGAUGUAUCUCAGUGGGACCCUCUAAUCCCAUGGAUCGUUGGGCCCUCUGGUAUGGUCUGGGUGAGAACCCUCCGGUCUCACUACUCGUUGGACCCUCUAGUCCAGUCUAAGUGAGGACCCUCCGGUCUCAUAGCUCGUUGGACCCUCCAGUCUAGUCAUAAUAUAACACCGUUCAUUGGACCCUCCGGUCUGGUCAUAAUAUAGCAUAGUUGGACCCUCCGGUCCGGUCUAAAUAUCACAUAAUAUAGCGCGCAUCACAUAUCAUACAUAAAUUACAUAACUCAGGCAUAUAUAAGACCCUCUGGUCACACAUAAUUACCACUCUAAGUAAAGUAUAAUGAGAAGACUCACCUCGGAUGAUGAAUAGUUCCUAUAAAUGCUACUGCCAUGCAACGGCCUCUAACUCUUUGCCAAACCCACAAUUAUCCCAAUUAGGAACUAAUUCUGAACUCUCGCUAAUUAGGGCUAAAGGCAGUCCACUAACCAGCCCAUCAAUGACCUAAAACCAAUUAGGCCCACCAAGGCCCAAUAAUAAAUGGGCUCUCCCGAAGCCCAACUUAAGGGCCCAAAGCACAUAUAUAUAAUCCUUUGGUCCAACACUCUAUUGAAACAAGUCCAAACUCCAAGCCCAACACUAAAUGCCCAAAAUGAGACUAAGCCCAAAAGUCCACAGUGAGGUUACGUGGGGUGUACCUCUCUUGGUACGCUCAGCAUGCUCACGAAUCCAUAUUCGCCAUCGGGGACAUUGGGGCAGUAUGUGGGGCGUACAGGAAUAAUGCUCAGCGUACUGCCCACAUUCACUCUUUUUACUCAUUUGGUCUUAAACAGUUAAGACAUUACCUCAAUCCCCAGAUCUGGACUCCUUAAUUGCACUUACUCCAUAAAGUCAGUGACUUAAAACGUUUGCUUGGCUGGAAAGGUCACAACACCCAAAACACUCACUUCCUUAUCUCAAAAACCUCCUAUCUCAUGCAUGGCUUGAUUCCAACGACCAAGAUUGGAUUUUUAUGACAUAACACCACUAAAUAUACUCAAAGGGACAUAUAUUAUGCUUUGGAGUUCAACAAAUCAUAAAGCUUCAAGCUUUGGGACCAAAAACCCUAAAAUGGACCCAAAACAAAAACUAGCACAACAAUAAGCAAGUUCAAAACUUGAUACCUCUAGACGAUGCACCAACAAGAGAAGAACAUAGAUCCAAAAGCUAGGUGCUCAAGUUAUUCUCUUUCAAAGCUCCUUCUACCUCAAAAGCCAAACACAACAAGUUAUCACCCCACUAGAUCCACAUGAUAAAGCCACCAAGAUUCAAACUUUAUUCUUUCUAGAGCUAGAUCAACAUGAUUAGGGAUUCAAUCCACAUGCUCCAAGCCAAGCAAUGCUUCCUCAAGGAACUCCUUCUUCCACAAUAUACACCAAUACCUCACCAAAUCACCAAAAUGCUCAAGAAUCACUCAAAUGGAGCCUUAGGGUCGAUUUCUAUGGUUUAGAGGGAUGGAGGCUGAAGAUAUUAGGGUUAGGUUAUGAGAUAAGGAGCUUAAAUAGGGUCCAAGACCCUAAAAUAGCAUUCAGGUCUGAUUGGUGUACGCCCAACGUUCAUAUAGUACGCCCAACGUACUCUGAAGAACAUUCACGACCACCCCUGGUCAGUAUGCCCAGCGUACUCUAAAAUUACGCUCAACGUAUGCUUUGUGUAUGCCCAGCGUACUUGGCUAAGCCUGCAAACCUGAAAACUUCUGAAGGCCAUAACUUCUUCGUUAUAAAUCCAUUUCCGACGAUCGUUAUAUCCACGAAAAGGUAACAAGAAGCCCUACACUUCUUUCAACUUUAUUCCUCCUAAAUCCCUCUCGAACUCAGAUAUAAAAUUCAUGAAAAGCCCGCACCAGCUCCUUUAACAAUACAUUUGGGCUCUAAAGCACAAACCGAACUCUUUAAUCAUAAAAUUGUUGGGUUUUGAGCAUUCUAACACUCCUAUGGUGUACAUGCAACCCUAUAAACCUUGGAUCUAUAUUUUCUCUAUUAUACAUGCAAAUAAGAACUUUCCAAGGCUUUAAUCCAAAUAGCAUAUUAUGAAGCUCUUAUACUACAAAGUACUGGUUAGAUGACAUACCUUUUGAUGUAACUUGAUGUCUUCAAGCUUUAAGAGCUUAGCCCUAAUAGUUUGGAAGCCUCAAAUGGAAUCAAAAAUCACCAAAACACCUUGGAAGACUUUAGAGAAUAUGAAUACUUGGUUCUCUCUAGUGAAAUCGGCUAGCCCUCUUANCACUAGUGCCAAUUUCACCAACCAUGGACAUCUUUAUAUAGUAUGGAUACUAGGGUUAAACCCAGGACCUUUCAUUUCAUAUGAUCCAUGGGUUAAACACUCCAUGGACUAUCCAUGAAUGCUUGGCCCAACCUAAAUGAACUUGGCCCAUUCCAUAUAUAUAAGAGUCCAUAUUUAAUUAGUUCACUUUAAUCACAUAAUUAAUUUUAAAUUAAGUCUUGAUCAAUACUAAUUAAAUAAUAUGAUUCCAUAUUAAUAUAUUAGAACUUAUAAUAUAUUAAUAUUAAUCAUAAACAUACUAUUCUCAAAAGAUUAUCCAUAUAAAUUGUGUCGGUGAAGUGCAACCCAAAUGGACCAUGCCGGGUCGGGUCAAGUACAUACCAAAUAUAGUUAUGGACUUAGACAUUAAUCCAACAGUCUCCCACUUGGAUAAGUCUAAAACUAUUAUUGCGUAUGACUUCAAACCUAACUGGCAAUCGUAGCUCUUAAAGCUGCUGUCGAACUCUGAUCUUGUCAACGAACUUGUCCAUUAGAUAAGGGAUCAUAUAUUCCUCCAUUCUAGAUAUCAUAUGGACUGAGACAUGGAUUAUAAUCAUUCUCUCUGUCCAUUUGUUGUUUCCCGAUUUCCGAUUUAUGACGACUGACUAAUUGAACAAAUCAAAUCAGUCCUGGCCCGGCCGAGCACUUCCAUUUGUCAUCAUCAAAUCAUCGAGGGGCCCACAGAUAUCGCUUUUAUCCCGAAGGUAAAAGGAAUGGAUAAACUUCGACUCAUAUGGCUUGUUCUACUACUUGUUGAAUCAUACACAAAGGCACGUUUUAUAGCACCGAGUUUCCCAAUGCGUUUUCGUGCAAUCAAUGUACUAUCAACUCAUAGUAACAACUCAUAUCUCUAGGUUUGAAGAAUAUAAGAUAUUAUCGUCUCAUGAUCACUCGUGAUAAAAUCCAUGAAGUGAUUCCAAUGAGCGCGGGUUGAAUCCAAUACUCAGAACUUAUGAGCACUCAUGAGUGUUGUAGCCCUUUGUCCAACACCUUAGACCUCUACAAGCCAACCCAUGACAGUCUUAAUUCAUAUCUACUUCCAACAUAUGACCGACUGUGGAUGGGUUGAAUAACUUAGUCAUUCCGGAAGAAUAACCUAGUUUAUUCGGGAAGUCAAAACAUGCAAAGUGAAACACAAUAAUAAUUGAAUCCAAUAUGGUAUCAAAACCUAUGAACAUAAAUAAAACACCUUUUAUUUAUCACCAUAUGAUUACACAUUAUUCAUUGUAUACUGUUUCAGCUAUCAACUUUUAUACUAGAAUUAAAACACUAGUUAUCCCAUGCUCCAAGCAUGUACACUAUGUUUUCUAACCAAUAGUUUUGCCAUACACCAAGUAUGCACUCUAUGUUUGUCUAUGAUCCUUAAUUUUGUGAAAUGAACCAAUUAACUAAAGUCUCAAUGAUUCUAAUUUCACACUCCAAGAUCGAAAUAUGUUAGACUUUAAACUUAAAUGCACUACCCUCUUGCAAUGAAUGUGUACAAAGCCACAAAAACUUGUCAACAACCAUUACAGGGUGUUCCAAUGAAGACCUACUCCAUGGAUACAAAGCCUUAUGUUCAAAGUAUGCAUUGCUUUGAACAUGCUUCUUGCACUAAGUUUUUUAUAAUCUUACACAGAUUGCUUCCAUCUAUGGAGACAACUCCAUAUUUCCAUUUUGACUACCACUUCUGAACAAGAGUUGCCUCUUUUCAAACUAUGUCAAUAUGGUCCUUCCAAUAUUAACAAUAUACUUCCAACUAUCCUUGAGCAACCAAUCUUUUGUAAACCUUAGAUUGUCCUCAACAAUUGCUUAAUCAUUUUAGUCGUAUCCAAUUCUAGACCUUUUCCCUUCUUAAUGCCCCAGGCAUUUGGAGAAUUUUAGAAAGGAUAAAUAUAGCACAUGUAAUCGAUCCUAUAUCCGAAGCAUAUGGGACACGAUCCAUGAUGUCUCACAUAAAGACUAAACCAAUCUUUUGCUAUAAUAUUUCCAUUUUUAUUUGCCAAGUUCUCAUAAUUCAGAUUAUGAAAAGGGAUGCCGUAAUCAUAAUCGAAUUUUAGAACGCAA
rnacentral:lncRNA from 1 species